CACCGAACACGACAACCUUGCAGUUUACACGCAAAUCUCCCCUGCUGCUGCUGUUGCUGUCACAAAAGCAGUGUGUUAGUCUCCAACAAAGCGGCAUGUUAACCUUGUGCAAAUUCUACCCUUUGGUGCUAUGCUUUAGGACGCAACUUGUGCGAUUCUACUCUUCUAAAAAAACAUUGAAAAACACAACAAUUUUCUUGCAAGUUGCAAUAAGGUGAUCUUAUGCUCUGAAGAAACUGGAACAUAGUUGACACAUGACAUUUUCAAAUUCAGCUUUCGUCCAACAAGGUGAUCUUAUACGACAAUUUCAAACACUGGACAUAAAUUGCAGGUAAUAUAGAGCAAAACGGUACCGCCGAGCUACACCAGAAGCAGAAAGAAUGCAAACAGCUAUUUUUCAAAACUCGUCGAUGUCCAGUCAAGCAAGGGACCAACUGCCUAACACUGUGAACUGAAAUACAAGUAUAACAAGUAGCAAGUAACUACAUCACCAUUAAAGUUAGGUCUUGAAGAUAAUAAAAAAUAAUUAAGCACUUAAAAGCUGAUUUAUAUUAUUAGCUGUGGGCGCAACAAAGAACAACAAAGGUUGAAAGAAAAGAAAAUUUGCAAACUAAAAUAUGAAGAGAUCGUACGGUAAAAAGAUAUGAAGGGAUUCUUGUUAGAAUCACAGAUGCAUGUCCAAAAGUUCAUUUCAUUCAGAGUUUAUUAUGAUCACUUCCCAGAACUAGCAGUCCUGUGUUUUUCUCUCAGUAAAUGACAAACACAAAGACAAACGGUAGACACAAAUUAAGCAAUGGGACUUAGCAGCAAAGAUACCAUAACAGUAUUCCAUAGAAAGUUACAACAGAUGAAAAUCCAAUCUACAAUAAGAUUCAUUAUCUCCAGAUUUGUAGCAAUAGUUUUAAAGCACCUAAAGGGAAAAAUAGCUACUUUGGGAUUGAAAUGCUAUAGCGGGAAAGGGAAGGGAAAGAGAUGGCCCUCUGGCGAUUGGCGCUUGGCGACGCUCCCGGCGGCGCGGGCGCCGUGGCCGCCCGGACGCCCCCUCCGCCUUCCCCGCCCUCGAGCCCCGNNNNNNNNNNNNNNNNNNNNNNNNNNNNNNNNNNNNNNNNNNNNNNNNNNNNNNNNNNNNNNNNNNNNNNNNNNNNNNNNNNNNNNNNNNNNNNNNNNNNNNNNNNNNNNNNNNNNNNNNNNNNNNNNNNNNNNNNNNNNNNNNNNNNNNNNNNNNNNNNNNNNNNNNNNNNNNNNNNNNNNNNNNNNNNNNNNNNNNNNNNNNNNNNNNNNNNNNNNNNNNNNNNNNNNNNNNNNNNNNNNNNNNNNNNNNNNNNNNNNNNNNNNNNNNNNNNNNNNNNNNNNNNNNNNNNNNNNNNNNNNNNNNNNNNNNNNNNNNNNNNNNNNNNNNNNNNNNNNNNNNNNNNNNNNNNNNNNNNGGGCCCGGCGCUUGCCUCCUGGAAGCCCACGCCCGCCGCCGGCCUCCCCUCUGCUCCGUCGUCGCCUGCACCGGCCGGCCCGACCCCGGCGUCCCCGCCCGCGCUCGCCUCGGUCGCUCCUUGCCGGAACCCUUCCGCCCCUUCCUCCCCUCCGGUCGGCCCGCCGGUCCCCAUCCCCACGGCCGGUCCUCCGGCCCGCCUCCCCCUCGCCGCCCCCGUACGCCCCCGCCGGCGGCCACCGCGGUGGUGCUCGGGGAAACCCUAGCGCCCCGCUUGGUCACCCCGGGGCGGACGUUUCGGGCCGCGUUGCUUUUGGGCCGGCCCACGAACCGGGUUCCUGGGCCCCCUCUUGGGACGGCAACGGUGGGUGCGGCCCAUGGGCGACCGGCCUCGGUGACCUGGGUGGGUCGACUUGGCAGGCCGGAUGGGCCCCGACUGGCCCAAUCUCGCCCCAUGGCGACGGCCGGCCCACCGCGUCGGUCUAUUUGGCCGCCGGUAGGGUUCCCUCGCCCCCACUCCUUCCCACCCCCGCGUCGCCGGCUCCCAGCCCCGUCCCCUCGGCCACGGCCGCCCCGCCUCGACUCCUCCUCGCCGGCGCCACCGGCCCUCCCCCGUCCCCCUCCGCGCCACCCAUGCCUCGGGAAUGGGGGGACGAUGCGGGGCGCCCCAAGCGCCGGGCGGACNNNNNNNNNNNNNNNNNNNNNNNNNNNNNNNNNNNNNNNNNNNNNNNNNNNNNNNNNNNNNNNNNNNNNNNNNNNNNNNNNNNNNNNNNNNNNNNNNNNNNNNNNNNNNNNNNNNNNNNNNNNNNNNNNNNCCGCGAUCCCCCACGCCCCUCCCUCGACGGCCGCCGGCGCGAGGAAGACCUGCGGCAGCAGCUUUCUUCCCGGCCGGCGCGGCCCUCUCCGGUGCGCGAGACCCGCCUCUCCCCCUCCCGCACCUCGCGCCGCUCCCCGGCCCGCGGCGACCGCCGUUCCCGCUCGCCCUCACGCCGCUCCUCUCCGCGGGGGGAGCCCCGCGACCGGGGCCGGUCUCCGGCCCGGGAGGCUAGGCCGCCCCCUCGGCAUCGGUCCCCCUCGCCGACCCGGCGCCGGGACCGGUCCCCUUCGCCGCCCCGCCCGCUCCCAUCCAACAACGACACCGACGCUCCCCCCUCCCGCCGCUACCAGCCCCCCUGCUCCCAGGCUGCGUUUCUGCCGGCCAACGGCGGCAGCGGCAACCGGGGACGCCCGGGAUCCAAGAAGAAGAAGAAGAAGGGCCCGCCGCGCCCACAAGUCGCCACCUCCACCGCUACCGCAGCUCCUCCUCCGGGUACCACCGCCUCGAACGUGGCUCAGCCGUGCUUCAACUGCGGCCUGACCGGACACUUCCAGGUGGCGUGCCCCAACCCACCGACGUGCUACCUUUGCAAGGAUACCGGGCACCCCGCGAUUCUCUGUCCGGACCGCCCGGUGUCGGAGGAGCUCAUGAUGUAUGGGCACGGCAUCGAGGACUUGGCCUUCUUCCACAUCGAGGUGCCCGAGCUCGCCCCGCCUUCCCCCUCGCUGCUGGCUUUGGUGACGGUUGUGGGCGAGGCCGUCGCCACCCCGGAGUUGAUUGAGGCUGAGCUCAACCACUUGUGCAGAUGCACGUGGGACUGGCAGGUGACCCCCACGGCUCCCAGCUCCUUCUCAGUGGUCUUCCCUGACGCGAUGAGCAUGGGCUUCUGCACGCGCAGCAACAACAUCACCCUGGCUCUCAACGACAUCGUGGUGAACAUCUCUGAGCCGCAGUGGGAUCCCAGAGCCGUCGCUACCCUGGACACGGCUUGGCUCCUCAUCUCCGGCCUCCCUGAUGUUGCCCGUUCCGAGCGGGUCAUCCGCAGUAUGUCCAAGAUCCUGGGCAGGGUGGUGGUGGUGGACGAGCUCUCCCUGCGCAAGGAGGAGGAGGUCCGGGUUAAGGUGAAAUGCCUAGACUCCUCCAAGCUCCACGUCACGAUCCGUGUCUUCUUCAACGAUGACGGCUAUGACCUCAAGAUCCGUCCCGAGCCUCCGUCCCACGUCGGCCGCCCCCACCUCUCUGCUGGCGGCCUCUUGGGGGGGCCCUGCUGAUGCUGACGACUCUCACCACCGCCGCUCGCGCUCCUCCCGCUUCGACGACCCGGCCGAGGAUGAGGAUGAGUCGGAGCACUCUCGCUCCCCGUCUCUGGACCCCCCCAACCCUCCUGCGGGUCGGGGGCGGGGCGUACCCGGGUGUCGGCCACCGAUCUCGCGGUGGCCCUCCGCCUGGCCACCCCUCUGGUUCCCUCCCCGUCUUCGUCGGCGUCGACCGGCGUCAUCUCCAGCGUGAGUCUCCUCGUCGCCCCUCCAUCGUCACCCCGCUCCCCCGACGCCGCCUCUGCCCGCCGCCUCACGCCACCAGGGGCUGCGCCCACGCCCUCCGCCGACUCACCUUCCCCGGUGUCUUCCGGGGUUGGUGGUGUUGAGGAGCCCGUCGCCCUUGCCCCGUCUGCCCCAUCUCCUCCACCCUCGGGGGCCGCGGUCAGGGCGGCGCUGGGGUCGGCCGAUCCUCACCCCGCGGAGGUGCCGUCCAGCUCCCACCUCACCUCGCCGGCCUCUCCUGACGCCUCGGUGGCAGUGGACGUCCCCUCCCCGGCCUCCGCGCACCCUCCUCCGACGGUGGCGUACGCCAGGAGGCCCCACUCCACCUCGACGCCGGUGACGUCCUCUCGCCGCAGCGCCCGCCUAGAGGCGUCGCGGCCGGGCGACUCUCAUGCGCCUUCCGUCGCCGAGCGGGCGGAGCUCCGCGCCGCGGUCCGGAACCUCGAGUCAGGUGUGGAUCCCGCCCCUCCCAGUUCUUCUCGUUGCUCCUUCUCUGCUCUCGAGGCCGCCCCCCUCGGCCACCUCGCUAAGGUGGCCAAUGACUCGGCCAUUGUCUUUAGGGGGGAGGUCGGUCCCCCCUUAGAACAGAUCGCGGCCAUUAGGGCCCGGGAGAUCCUCGACGGCAGGCUGGCUGAGACUCAUGCCCGCCUGCUGCGGCCCCCGGCUCCGGCUCCUCCGGUGGCCGACGGGAUUAUCCGUGGACGCACUCGGUCUUGCACGACCGCCCUUCGCGCGCAAAGCGCCUCUCGUGUUCUGGGGUCAAGCAGCCCCCCGAUGGGGGUUUAGAUGCGGGCCCUUUUCUGGAACCUCCGCGGCUUCGGCCAUGAUGGUCGUCGCCGCCAGCUCAUCGAGUACAUCCGGGAUGAACAUAUUGACAUUGUGGCCAUCCAAGAAACCCUCCGCUCUGAGUUCACCCUGCAGGAACUUGAACAUCUGAGCCCCCACCUCUUCGCGUGGCACUGGCUCCCUUCUAGUGGGACCUCAGGCCACUCGGGUGGCAUCCUCUUAGGGGUUAAGGAUACCACAUUUGAGGUGGGAGGCAUGGAUAGAGGGGAAUUUUUCGUUAGUAUGGAGAUCUUCGAGCGGGCCCUGAACUUCAAAUGGGAGGUCAUUGUUGUCUACGGACCGACGGACCACCGCCGCUCCCCGGCGUUCCUUGACGAGCUGCAGCUGAAGAUCUCUAACUCUCCCCUCCCAGUUUUAGUGGGGGGUGACUUCAAUCUCAUCCGAUCCCCGGAUGAGAAGAAUAAUUCCCGGAUUAAUUUCCCCCGGAUGCAAUUAUUCAAUGAUUGGAUCGCGGAGCUGGGGCUCCGUGAGCUUGACCGGUCAGGUGCCAGAUUCACUUGGACCAACCGGCAAGCUGUACCGACACAAUCCGUGCUGGAUCGUGUCCUAGUUUCCCCGGAGUGGGAAUUGCGAUGCCCCUUGGCAUCGCUCCGGGCGGUCACCCGGAUUGGCUCCGAUCAUGUCCCCCUUCUCCUCUCCACCGCCGACGAGCGCCCCCCCUCCCCGCCGCGGUUUCGGUUCGAGCUCUUCUGGAUCAAUCAGACCGGCUUUCGGGAGGCCGUCGUCGCCCGCUGGAUUUUCGCUAGGUCGGCACCCCAUCGCUCCAUGUCCGCGGUCGAUUCAUCGCACUUUUGUGCCAAGCUAGCCCGCCAGUUCAUGAAGGGUUGGGGGGCUAAUCUUGGCCGGGACCUUAGAGAGCGCAAGAAGUCCAUCCUGAUUGCUAUUCAAACCCUGGAUGCUCGCGCGGACUCGGCUGGGCUCUCCUCGGACGAGUGGCUGAUUCGUUACGACCUGGAGGACCAGCUCUCCACCAUCUACACGGAUGAGGAGGCGUACUGGCUCUUGCGUGGUACCCAGAGGUGGGUGCUAUAGGGCGAUGCCAACACCGCCUAUUUCCAGGCGGUCGCGAACGGCCGGCGCCGUCGCAACUCCAUCCACUGCCUGUGGGAUGGAGACUCGCCGUUAGUUCUUCCAGCGGCCAUCCGCUGUCAUGUGGAUGGCUUCUAUAGGGCCUUAUUUACCCCCACCCCGUGCAGUGGGGCUAGUCUCGCCCCCGACAUUUGGUCGGGCGCGCACGUAGUCUCGGCUGAAGCCAAUGCGGCUUUGGUUGCCCCCUUUAGCGAGGAGGAGGUCCUCGCUGCCAUUAAGGGGAUGAACCCCUCCUCGGCCCCGGGACCUGACGGUCUUCCAGUGGCUUUCUUCAAGACGUUCUGGCCGACCAUCAAGCUGGAGGUCAUGGCUCUCUUUGAGGAAUUCUACUCGGGCUCCAUGGACCUGGGUCGCCUUAAUUAUGGGGUGGUGACCCUCAUCCCCAAGGUCCCGGGCGCCUCCGAUAUUCGUCAGUUCCGCCCCAUCACAGUGAUUAAUGUGAUUUUUCGGAUCCUGGCUAAGGGGUACGCCAAUAGGGUGACCCUCCUUGCGGACACUAUCACCCACCCGAACCAAUCCUCCUUCAUUCAAGGCCGAUUUAUCCUGGAUGGGGUGUUGGUGUUCCACGAAGUGCUCCACGAGGUCCGCCUGAAGCGCCAUAGGGCGGUCUUUCUCAAGUUGGACUUCCACAAAGCCUACGACACGGUGCACUGGCCGUUCCUGAGGGAAGUCCUUCUUCGCAAGGGCUUCGAUGACCGUUGGGUGACCCGAGUCAUGCAGCUCGUCUCUUGUGGUCGGACUGCGGUGAACAUCAACGGCGACAUUGGGCCCUUCUUCCCUACCCUCUGCGGGGUCCGGCAGGGAGAUCCCUUCUCGCCGUUCUUGUUCAACAUGGUUGUGGAUGCCUUGGCCGCCAUCUUGGAUAAGGCCAAGGCUGCUAGGCAUAUUAGAGGCCUUGUCCCGCACCUUGUUGGAGGGGGAGGGGUCUCCCUUCUACAAUACGCGGAUGACACCAUUAUUAUGGUCGAGGGGUCUGCCUUAGAGAUCUCCAACCUGAAGUUCCUUCUUCUGUGCUUCCAACAAAUGUCGGGCCUCACCAUCAACUUUGAUAAGAGCGAAGUGAUGGUGCUCGGUUACCCCUCUGAGGACGCACAGUCCAUUGCCGACCGGCUUAACUGUCGGCUGGGUUCUUUCCCCACGACCUAUCUGGGGAUCCCCAUUAGUGACUCGCGCCUCACCGUGGCGGACCUCCGCCCCAUGGUGACCCGUAUGCAACAUCGCGUAGAGCCCUGGAAAGGGCGUUGGCUAUCGAAGGCGGCGCGCGUGAUCCUUAUCAACUCAUCGCUAGCCAGCCUCCUGUGGUUCCUUAUGAGCUUCUAUAGCCUUCAUGAAACGCUCCAUCAGGAGGUCGCCAAAUACCAGUCCAGAUUCUUCUGGGCUGGGGAGGAGGGCAAGAAGAAAUACCACAUGGUCAGCUGGCCAGACAUCUGCAAACCCAAAGACCAGGGCGGUCUUGGGAUUCUGUCCUCUCGGCGCAUGAACAUCGCCCUCUUGACCCGCUGGCUCUGGCGCAUCGCCAAUGGGGACGGUGGCCUCUGGCUUACUAUCAUCCAGAACAAGUACCUGCGUGGACAGCCACUGGCGUUCUGCCAACGCUCGGGCGGUUCCCAGUUUUGGCAGGCCGUCGUCCGGCUGCUUCCGGUCUUACGUAUAGGCACUUACAUCUCUGUGCGCUCUGGAGCUUCGACCUUGUUCUGGCUGGACAGGUGGCUCGGAGGCUCCCCUCUAGCCGCCCGGUUCCCCAUCCUCUUCGACAUUGUAGUUGACCCUCGGGUCUCAGUCGAGGCGGCCCUUAUUGACUUAGGGCGCCUCGCGUUCCGCCGCCCUUUUGGCCCCGCUGAGGUGGCUACCUGGGAUGUCCUCCUCCAGGACAUCGCCCUGCUACCUAUGGACGUGGCAGAUUCUCUGGACUCCAUCUCCUGGCGCCUAGACCCCUCCGGCCGCUUCUCCACCAAAUCCCUCUACGCGGCCAUUGCCCCUUCGUCAGCCCCGGAGCCCUUUGGUCUUAUCUGGGACAUCCGCCUCCCACUUAAGAUUCGGAUCUUUCUUUGGCAAUGGAUCCGCGGCCGCCUCCCGACCGGCGUUGAGGUUCUUAAGCGCCAUGGUCCUGGCGAUGGAAUGUGCCCCCUGUGUGGCACGGUAGAGGACGCUAAUCACAUCUUCUUCCUGUGCUACAUGGUACAGUUCCUUUGGUCUUGUUUCCGCGAAACGGUUGGGGGACAGUGGUGCAACACCAACUUCCCUGACCUGCUUGCGGAAAUUCAAGCCUCCCCCCUCGCUACAGACAUAUUAGAUGGCUGUGUGUCGGGGUUCUAGCCUGGACCCUGUGGACGGUUCGCAAUAAGCUUGUCAUUCAGAAGGUGCCCCUUCGGCGUGCGACUGACUCCAUCUUUAAAAUGUGUGGUUACUUGCAGCUCUGGCGGCCGCUUAGCCGCCCGCAGGACCGGGACGCCAUCGACAGACUCCUCACCGACCUCCGUUCGUUGGCCUUUCGCCUGGCGCCUCCGCUCCCGCCGCCACCACCAGAGCCCGACUAGAGGAUGUUUCCCUCCUGGCUCCUGGCGCUUGUGCCUUUUUGUGUGUGUGUGUUGGGCUUGUUGAGCUGUGCCCUCAGCAGUAACCCUUGUUGCUUUCUUGUGCUUGGACUUCGUGUGCGUGUGGGCUUUGUGUUUGUGUGAACCUUGUUGGAUGUUGGCUUUGGCAUUUGCUUUAUAUAUAAAGCGGGGCGCGAGCCUUUUUGGGCAAGCACCUAAAGGUUUGUCUGAGCAUAACCAUUACUUAAUGUACAAAGGCACUAUCUUCCAGAUUUCAAUGCCAACUAGAUACUUAUUUUGCAUCAACAAAGUAACUAAUAAUUGUAAACUCAUACCGACAACUUUACAUUCAUUUCCGCAUACGACGAACAGCUGCAGAUUUCAGUGAGAACCUUCAACUUCAUGCCCAGUGCCCUCAUCAUCACCAAUCAAACACGGAGGCCAGGCCAUAAUAUACGGAUAGGCACAGUAAUCAAAUGUCCCAUUGAUCAUUAACUCAAUCUCCUUGGUCCCCAAUGAAUGGUAGAAUAACCAGCUGUGUUGUGUGUCAGCAGGGGUUAUGCAUAUCAUGCACACGUACACGCAUCUAGACCUAGCUUGCACAACUCUGAGUUUGCCCUCCGAUUCCCCAGUCAUCCGCUCAAUCUCUGCGCUCAAAGAGAGUAUGAGCUGCGGCACCCAAAUCCCAAUUCCAUCACCGUCCACACCACGGGUAAAAACAUGGAGGUGAAAAUCAUCAGAUGCAUAUAGCAAGCAGAGCUCUCCAUCCUUAGUGUCCCCGACGAUGAAAUCGGCCUGCCCGUAAUCAGUUACCUACGAGGGUAGAUCCAGAGAGGAGACAUCCAUGGUAGCUGUGUUUAUCCUGAUCACACGUGUUUCCUCAUCACAGAAAGGCCAGUAAAUGGAACCAUCCACCAGCAUGCCAGCACCGUGCUUUAGGCCGUACUCACCGCCGAUUUCGACCCAGGGGUGGAUGACCCAAUCCCUCGUCCCCGACGAGAAGACGGCGGCGCGAACCCUAGACACGUCGGCGCAGAUGCAGACCACGCCGAACGAGCUGGGGCUCUCCUCGGAAGAAAGCAGGUGGAGGCCGAUGAAGGAGAAAUCGCUGAGGCUCCCGUCCGCGACAUCGUCGGGCAACGGGAUGGUGUCCACAGCCCAGGUCAUGGGGUUCACCGCGACCACGGCCCAGCGUGACAGGUCCUCAAUGCAUCACAGCAAGACAAUUACUCGAACUAGCCCCGCUUGAUAUUAUCUCAAGGUUCAGAGUUACAGAUACAGGGGAUCAGAUCGAGGAUCUGUCCAAUUUCUAUCAAGUACUCUAGAGUUCUAAGGGUAGCUAGCUAUUACACUUGGAGAAAAGGGGAAAGAUAAUCUUCGACUCGGCGAGCGGGUCCCUUAUAGCUGGGAGCAGGUGGCGAUGACUUGAGACGGAAGGAUCCGUUGCCGUCACUGUUACAGUCAGGCUGGUGGCGGCAACGGGUGAUGGUGAACAGGACACCGGAGAGCCGUCGAUCUUCACUUACUGGGUUGAUCCCAACUGUCCGAUUCCCAUAGACUGAACUCUGUUUCUUCAGUGCAGGUGUUCUGUUCUUCAGUUAACCAGAAUAAGCUGUCAGGGUCCUGACAACUGCCCCUCUCUGGAGAAGAUCCUUGUCCCCGAGGAUCAUUUGUCGGAAACCAGGAGCGAAUGGUGUGGUUGAAGAACUCCGGAAAGGUGACUUUGAUGAAAUCCGCGUCUUCCCAAGUAGCUUCGUCAGGUGACAUGUUGAGCCACUGUACCAACCACUGUGUGACCAAGUGAGGAUGUCUUGGGACAGCUCUUGUUUCCAGCACUGCGAUAGGAGCUACUUUGAUCUUGCCAGAUGCAUCUACCAAGGGCAAAUCUGGAUCAGGGACUGCAUUUGGCCCCAAGUGUCUUUUGAGUUGGCUCACAUGAAACACAUUAUGUAUCUGUACCUUAACAGGGAGCUGUAGCUUGUAUGAGGAAUUUCCUAUCUUCUGUAGUAUUCUGUAGGGACCAUAAAAUUUUGUGGCUAGUUUAAGCCCUGUUCUGAUGCUGAAUGCAGCAAGUCUAUAUGGUUGCAUUUUUAAGUACACCAUAUCACCUUCUUGAAAUUGUUUGUCUGUUCUAUUUCUAUCUGCGUAUUUCUUCAUUCUUUCUUGUGCCACUUGUAAGUUGUGUUUGAGUUGUUGCUGUACAUGUUCUCUUUGCUCCAAAAAUGAUUGGACCUCGGCGUCUGCAGGGCCAGGGAUAGAUAUCUCUCCAAUUUGAGGGGGAGGGAACCCAUACAAACACUGGAAUGGUGUAAACUUUGUAGCAGUGUGGUAUGAUGUGUUGAACCACCACUUUGCCAAGGAUAACCAAGAACACCACCUUUUUGGUUCAGUAAAAGCCAUGCUUCUGAGAUAAGCUUCUAGACAUUGGUUAACACGCUCUGUUUGGCCAUCUGACUGAGGAUGGUGGGAUGUGCUCAUAUUAAGUUUGACCCCGAGAGUUUUGAACAGUGCUUGCCAAAAAUUGCUGGUGAAUAUGGUAUCUCUGUCUAUUACCAUAGACACUGGCAUUCCAUGCAGUUUGAAAAUGUUGUCUAUAAACGCUUGGAGGACUGUGGUGACAGAGAAGGGGUGAGAGAGGGCUAUGAAAUGGGAAUAUUUAGUGAAUCUGUCCACGACCACUAAGAUCACAUCUUUGCCGUGUGACUUUGGCAGGCCCUCCACAAAAUCCAUUGAAAUAUGUCUCCAGGCCAUGUCAGGGAUGGGGAGAGGGUCAAGCAGACCAGGAUAGUGGCAAUGUUCUCCCUUGGCUCUCUGGCAAAUAGGACAUUGCUGAAUAAAUUGCUCCACUGCCUUUUUCAGGUUGGGCCAAUAGAAUAUGUUCUUGAUUCUGUGAUAUGUGGCUCUAAUGCCAGAGUGUCCACCAAUUGGUGAAGAGUGAAAUGUUGUGAGCAGUUGUUGUCUGAAGUUCUCAUCUGUGCCCACAUAUAUUCUGCUUUUCUACCUCAAAAUCCCAGCUGCAUAACUGUAUAAAGGGAGAUCGGUUGCUCCAGCAGUUAGUUGAGCUAUCAAGGACUUGCAUCUGUCAUUAGAAGUAUAGGAAAGUUCUAGUUGUUCAGUCCAACUAGGUACCACAGUAGAGAUUGUCAUGAGUUGAGGUUUUCUGGAAAGAGCAUCAGCGGCCUUGUUUUCUUUGCCCUUUUUAUACUCAAUGGUGUAAGUGAAUUCCAACAAUUUCAACAUAAGCUUGUGUUGUAUUCCUUCAGAUAUCCUCUGCUCUGUGAUGAACUUAAGGCUUUGGUGAUCUGUUUUAAUGAUCAAGGAUGAUCCUAGGAAAUAAUGUCUCCACUUCCUUAGAGACUCUAAGAUAGCUAUUGCUUCUUUUUCAUAAGUAGACAAAGCAACAGCUUUGGGACCAAGGGACUGACUGUAGUAAGCAAUGGGUUUGUGUUUUUGCAUGAGGACAGCACCAAUUGCAGCUCCAGAAGCAUCAUAUUCAAGUUCAAAAGGGAGAGAGAAAUCAGGAAGUGCCAGCACUGGGGCAUGUGUCAGACUGAACUUUAGUUUCUCAAAUGCUGCUGUUUGUAAUGGAGUCCAAAGGAAUGAAUCCUUUUUGAGCAGGUCAUGAAGUGGUCUACAAAUCAUACCAUAGUCUUUAAUGAAUCUUCUGUAGUAACCUGCCAGACCAAGGAAACUUCUCAGUUCUGUUGUUGUUAUUGGUAUGGGCCACUGUUUAACAGCUGAGAUCUUGUCUGGAUCUGUUGCAACUCCUUGUGCAGAUAGCACAUGUCCCAAGUAUUCUACAUUAGGUGUCCCAAAGGUGCACUUUGCUUGGUUUAAGAGCAGGUUGUGUUUCUUAAGCAAUUCCAGCACUAGGGCCAAGUGUUCCUUGUGUUCCUCUGGUGUCUUACUGAAUAUUAAAAUAUCAUCGAAGAAUAUUAGCACAAACUUCCACAAAUAAGGAGCAAAUAUUUUGUUCAUCAAUGCUUGGAAAGUGGCAGGGGCAUUUGUGAGACCAAAUGGCAUGACUAAGAACUCAAAGUGGCCAAAGUAAGUUCUGAAUGCAGUCUUGUGAAUAUCUUCAGGCUUCAUCCUGAUUUGGUGAUAUCCUGAUUUGAGAUCAAGCUUGCUAAAUAUAGUUGCUCCAUGUAGCUCAUCUAAUAAAUCCUCUAUGACAGGUAUAGGGAACUUGUUUUUGACUGUUUGGGCAUUUAAUUUUCUGUAGUCAAUACAUAACCUCCAAGUGCCACCCUUCUUUCUUACUAAAAUGGCUGGUGAAGCAUAUGGGCUCAUGCUGUGUUGGAUGAUAUGUCUGGAUAGCAACACUUUGAUUUGCUGUUCCAUUUCAUUCUUUUGCAGGUGAGGAAUUCUGUAGGGUCUCACAUUCGAUGGUGUAGAAUUUUCUUUGAGAGGUAUGCUAUGAUCACACUCUCUAAUUGGUGGUAAUUCUGUUGGUUCGGUAAAAAGUUCCUUGUACUUUUCCAAGACUGGCAAAAGUUCCUUUGCUGCUUUCUGUUCAGUAUGAUCAGCAACACAACUAUAGUUACUGACAGUGGUCAUAAACUGAAUGCUCAUGGCAAAACCCACUGCUCCCUGAGAGCACAAUUUUUCUGCUUUGUCAGCAGAAAUGAGUUUAGGUGCUGUUGUAGCUGUACAAUCUGUGAAGGUUACAGCAAACUAUCUAUCCUUGUUGAUAGUCACAGUUCUUGCAUCGAAAUCCAUGGACAAAGGGCUAUGUUUCUUCAGAAAAUCACAGCCCAGAACAAUAUCAUAUCCUUGUAAUUCCAGAACAGUGAGAUCAUUUGAGAAAUCUUCAUUAUAUAUUCUGAAGUUUGUGUUAGGAGCAACAGCACCUGAGUUCAGUGAACCACCCCCAGCUACUAUCACUUUCUGUGUAGGUGUAUUGAUCAAUUGACAAUUUUUUUUAGAGCAAAUUUGAGAUCAAUGAAUGUGUUUGUGCUUCCUGUGUCUAUAAGGGCUACUCCUUUUCUUUCUCCAAGGGAAACACUCACUGCUAUAGUGGACUCAGAAGAAUCACCAGAUACUGCUUGUGCAGAAAUGUGCAUGCAUUUAUCUGUUGCUUUUGUAAAUUGCCCUUCAGCAGUUAGAACUGCUAUUUGUGCUUCUUCUUCGGGUGACAUAUCUUCAGGGUCAUUUUCACUAGCAAUAGCAUGUAAAGCAGGAGAUUGUUUGCAUUUCUGACCAGGGAUCCAGGGCCCAUUACAUCUCCAACACACUCCUGGUUUCCUUGUUGCUGGAGCCGGUGGAGGGAUUUGUAAGUUGGAAACGGGUGGAGGAGUAGCUUUAGACUGUCCAGAGAGAGCUUGAGACUGUUUUUCUUGGUGACUGAGAUAUGAUUGGUACUUUGCUUGCAAACCACUUUCAUAAUCUCUAGCUAACCAAUAUGCCUGACUGAGGGUUGUGGGUCUUUGUGGUCUGAGGUUACACCUGAUGCUUGGUUUUAAGCCAUUGACAAAACUCACUAUAUAAUAAUUUUCUUGCAAGUAUGGGUGUUCAUCCCUGACAACAUCCAUUACUUCUUCAAACUUAUCAGUGUAGGCAGCUACUGACAGAGUGUUCUGUUUGAGAUUGUGGAAUUUUUCCAGCACCUCAUAAAUGCUGGAUUCAGCAAACUUGUCACACAAUGCUCUGCAAAAAUCUGGCCAGGGCAAUCUGUUGUUUUCCAUUCGGGCACUUCUGACCCAGUUAUCAGCUCUCCCCACAAUAUAGGUCAGUGCUAAAUCCACUUUGCACUCGUCAGGAAUUUGAGCAAGCUGAAAGUAUUUGUUGACUUGUCUGAUCCACCCCAGGGGAUUGUCUCCAUUGAAGGUAGGAAAAUCUAUCUUAGGGCCUUUGGAAAUGCUCUUCAGGAAUUGCAUUGCUCUGUCAGUUUGUUGUUGUGUUGUAGUACUGAGUGCUGGUUGUGUUUGCUGGCUUGCACUUCCUCCUGUCAAGCUAUUUUGCAGUUGUGUUUGCUGUCCUUGUGGUGUGAUUAGUGUCUCUCUCGUGGCCUUAGCUGCGUGUGCGCCUGGAUUCUGCUGGUUCUGUUGUUGUAAGCUGGGUUGAACAACCAAGGAAGCAGACGCUUGGGGAACAGGGGAGGGAGGGUUGGGGUUCUCUGCUCGCAUUUCGCGCAAGAUGGCGAAGAUGUCUUGCUGAACCUUGGAGUUGUUCUCGACCAACAGCUCAACCUUUCCCAACUGUUUUUCCAAGGAUUCGACUGUCUGUAGGCGUGUGUUAACCUGAUCGAUCUGAUCUUGCAUCUUGUCCUACUUCAAACCCAGCGCAGUCAGUUCGGUCUGCAUCGCCUCGAGCUCUUCCGAAAUUUCAUCCAUAUGCUUGGUUCGGGUGGGCAUGGUGACCCGCACGGCUCUGGGAUUUUACAGCGGAACGAAUCUGAAACCUUCGCCGGUGACCUCCUUCUACCGCCGCCAAAGCUCCACGUCUUGCCCGCCUCUGAUGCUGCAUGAACCAGGGAUACGCUAAGGAAUUUUACCACGGCGGAAUUGUUCCAGCCGCAACCUAGUUUCUCCCCAAUUUGCAGCCGAACGAUGCCUACUCCAGGCCGCCUUCGAUCCGAAGAACUGCACCGCCGCCGGGACCCGACACCGAAUUGGGGGAUUUUACGAGAGAUCCCAACCCCAGUUCGUGGUCAGAUCCGAUUCGCCUCCGAAGAUUCACUGGCUCUGAUACCAAUUGACAGGUCCUCAAUGCAUCACAGCAAGACAAUUACUCGAACUAGCCCCGCUUGAUAUUAUCUCAAGGUUCAGAGUUACAGAUACAGAGGAUCAGAUCGAGGAUCUGUCCAAUUUCUAUCAAGUACUCUAGGGUUCUAAGGGUAGCUAGCUAUUACACUUGGAGAAAAGGGGAAAGAUAAUCUUCGACUCGGCGAGCGGGUCCCUUAUAGCUGGGAGCAGGUGGCAAUGACUUGAGACGGAAGGAUCCGUUGCCGUCACUGUUACAGUCAGGCUGGUGGCGGCAACGGGUGACGGUGAACAGGACACCGGAGAGCCGUCGAUCUUCACUUAUUGGGUUGAUCCCAACCGUCCGAUUCCCAUAGACUGAACUCUGUUUCUUCAGUGCAGGUGUUCUGUUCUUCAGUUAACCAGAAUAAGCUGUCAGGGUCCUGACACAGCGCGAGUUCCACAUGAGGAUGUACCCGUGGCGGCAGUCCGUGACGGUCCAGCCGAUGGGAGCGACGUCGCCCAGCAGGAGGGAAGUGAGGAAGAAGUCGCCGCGGCGGAGGGCGGCGGUGAGGUCGAGAUCUGAGCGGCGCAGGGGGGCGAAGGAGGGAGCGGUGCUGACGUCGACCUCGAGGAAGAUCCCGAGGAGGGGCGCCGGGUGGAGGGCGCGGAAGAGGCGGCGGAAGGGCCGGGAGGAGCGGACGGCGCCGAGCCAGGAGCGGCAGGUGAGCGCGGCGCGGACGAGGGCCGGCAGGUUGGGCAGCCGGAGGAAGAUCUCGAGGAGCUGGUCUUGGCCCAGCGAGGAUAUGGUUGUGGUUCCGUCGCCGACGGUGGCGAGGGUGGUGGUGGUGGUGGCAGCGGCGGAGGGGAUCGACGGAUGUUUGGCUGCUGGCGCAGCCGCCGCCGCCGGCGGCAGCUUGCUGCUCAUUGCUCGAGAACGUCAGCGGAGAUUUUGGAUCCCUGGCUAUUUUGUUUUGUUUUUUUAGAAUUCCCUGGCUAGUUGUUUUUAGUACCGGGUGGACCAAGCCCAUUACAUCAUACCUUAGAGCAUCUCCAGCCGUUCGCCCCCCGGCGCCGAAAAAGAGCGGCUUGAAGAUAAGCAGUGCUAGAUUGGGCCCUGGGGUUCGGUUCGCUCCCAGUCAUAGGCUCAUGGUCGCCGCGGGUUCGGCGAAGUUCGUUUCAAAUUUUUGUAAACUCGGCGAUUUUUUGUAGGAACUCGGCCAUACUUCAUUGAAAUUUGUAAAAAAAUGUAAAAACAUGCAAAAACUACGCCUAACUUAAAAAACAAACUAAAAAGUGUAGCCGCCGCCGUCGCCGCCAUCGUCGUCUACAUGCCGAGAAGCCUGUAGAAGCAGGUGUAGUCGCUGCCGUCACUGUCGUCGCCGCCGUCGCCGUCAUCGCGCGCCUCGCCUGCGACGUCCCUACUGCAGCCCUUGCCGGGGUCGCCGACACGUGGCGGGCGCUUGACGGCCCGGCCUCGCCCUCCUCGUCGCUGUCGAUGACGAUAACGCCGCCCUCCUCGGCGCGGCGACGGGCCUGUUGCUUCGGGUACGCCCGGCGCUGGCGGCGCACCUGCUUGCGGGCGUAGUCCUACUUCGCACAUUUGAGGGCGGACUUGUCGUCGGGGGCCACCAUGUCGACGUGCUCCGGCUUCACGGGGAGAAAGCCCGGCCCGGGCUUCGCCCGGACCAGGCGUAGGGAGCGCCUCACCGGUACCGUCGCAGGCGGUGAGGGCUCGUUGAUAACGAGGGUGCCGCUGCGAGCGCGACGCCCGAGCGAUGUCCCCUCCGGCUCAGGCCUGACGGGGUGGAGGGCCGGCGAGCCGGAGCCCGACGACGAGGACGACCCCGGCUCCAUUCGCCGCGGCAUCCAGGAACUGCCGCGGCGGCGAGAGAAGGACGGCCGCGUCGGGUACUCCAGCCGCGGCACGUUGCCGGUCUCGAUGUGGCCGAGGACGGCGUCGAGGGUGCGGCCGGGGAUGCCCCACCACUCGCGCCAUCCUUCGGCGUUGAGGCGGCUGCGGGGAAUGAUGUCGUUGACGGAGGCGAUCUGCUCCUCGCGGCGGCGCUGGAAGUACAUCGUCCUCAACGUUUCGCUGUCGGGCGCGUACCUCGGCUGGUUUCGCUGCUCCUCCGUCAGGGAGGGGCGGAUGCGGACGAUCUUUGCCCAUCGUUCCGCCCCUUCGGGUACCGGCGGUAUCGGGACGCCGCCGGUGCUCAGCCUCCAUGCCCCCGGCACGCGCAUGUCAGGGGGCGCCAGGUACUCGGCCUCGUAGAGGAGGCGCGCCUCCGGCUCUUGGAGGUGUCGGCGGCCGAAGCCGUUCGCCACUGCGCCGUCGCCUGGGAACCUCUCGGCCAUCUUUGCUUUGCUCGUCGGCGGGGAGAAGGUUUUUCGCGAGAGGGACAGGGGAAGGUUGUGGCGCUCACCAGCGGGGAGUGGGCGUCUUUUAUAGCCGAAGCGGGGUGGCGGGGAGGCGGCAUGCGGGAGGACGCGUGGCGGGAGCGAGCGGGACGCGCGUCAGCGGCGUUUUCACUGCGCCACCCGUGAGCCAUCAAUGGAGGCUGACUGGCGCGGCAGCACGACAGCCUUGGCAUUGAUUCUCGCGGGAACCGAGGCGGUGAGGGCGACGAAGCGGCGUCUCGCUGACUCGGCGGGCCCGUGGCUCUUUCGCGCCAAAACCGCUCGUGCCGGCGCCCCCGGGCGCCCCCAGCGCGCCGGAUUCGGCCUGGGUCCGCCGGCGCUGAUUUCGGUCCAAGCCGGCGAAAAAUGGGCCCUGGGGGUGCGACUGGGCCUUUUUCAACGCCGGCACAAAAAAAUCGCCUAGGAAGUGUUGGGGAACGUAGUAAUUUUAAAAAAAAUUCCUACGCACACGCAAGAUCAUGGUGAUGGCAUAGCAACGAGAGGGGAGAGUGUUGUCCACGUACCCUCGUAGACCGUAAGCGGAAGCGUUAGCACAACGCGGUUGAUGUAGUCGUACGUCUUCACGAUCCGACCGAUCCAAGUACCGAACGUACGGCACCUCUGUGUUCAGCACACGUUCAGCUCGAUGACGAUCCCCGGGCUCCGAUCCAGCAAAGCUUCGGGAAUGAGUUCCGUCAGCACGACGGCGUGGUGACGAUGAUGAUGUUCUACCGGCGCAGGGCUUCACCUAAACUCCGCGACGAUAUGACCGAGGUGGAAUAUGGUGGAGGGGGGCACCGCACACGGCUAAGGAACAAUCCGUAGAUCAACUUGUGUGUCUAUGGGGUGUCCCCCUGCCCCCGUAUAUAAAGGAGCCAGGGGGGAGGAGGCGGCCGGCCAAGGAGGGCGCGCCAAGGGGAGUCCUACUCCCACCGGGAGUAGGACUCCCUCCUUCCUUGUUGGAGUAGGAGAAGGGGGGGAAGAGGGGGAGAGGAGGAAGGAAAGGGGGGCCGCACCCCUUGUCCAAUUCGGACUAGAGGGGGGCUGCGCGCCUCCUUCCUUUCGGCCUCUCUCCUCUAUUCCCGUAUGGCCCAAUAAGGCCCAUAUACUCCCCGGCGAAUUCCCGUAACUCUCCAGUACUUCGAAAAAUACCCGAAUCACUCGGAACCUUUCCGAACUCCGAAUAUAGUCGUCCAAUAUAUCGAUCUUUACGUCUCGACCAUUUCGAGACUCCUCGUCAUGUCCCCGGUCUCAUCCGGGACUCCGAACUCCUUCGGUACAUCAAAACUCAUAAACUCAUAAUAUAACUGUCAUCAAAACCUUAAGCGUGCGGACCCUACGGGUUCGAGAACAAUGUAGACAUGACCUAGAACUAUUCUUGGUCAAUAACCAAUAGCGGAACCUGGAUGCCCAUAUUGGCUCCUACAUAUUCUACGAAGAUCUUUAUCAGUCAAACCGCAUAACAACAUACUUUGUUCCCUUUGUCAUCGGUAUGUUAAUUGCCCGAGAUUCGAUCGUCGGUAUCUAAUACCUAGUUCAAUCUCGUUACCGGCAAGUCUCUUUACUCGUUACGUAAUGCAUCAUCCCGUAACCAACUCAUUGGUCACAUUGCUUGCAAGGCUUAUAGUGAUGUGCAUUACCGAGAGGGCCCAGAGAUACCUCUCUGACAAUCGGAGUGACAAAACCUAAUCUCGAAAUACGCCAACUCAACAUGUACCUUCGGAGACACCUGUAGUACUCCUUUAUAAUCACCCAGUUACGUUGUGACGUUUGGUAGCACCCAAAGUGUUCCUCCGGUAAACGGGAGUUGCAUAAUUCUCAUAGUUACAGGAACAUGUAUAAGUCAUGAAGAAAGCAAUAGCAACAUACUAAACGAUCAAGUGCUAGACUAACGGAAUGGGUCAUGUCAAUCACAUCAUUCUCCUAAUGAUGUGAUCCCAUUAAUCAAAUGACAACUCUUUUGUCCAUGGCUAGGAAACAUAACCAUCUUUGAUAAACGAGCUAGUCAAGUAGAGGCAUACUAGUGACACUAUGUUUGUCUAUGUAUUCACACAUGUAUUAUGUUUCCGGUUAAUACAAUUCUAGCAUGAAUAAUAAACAUUUAUCAUGAAAUAAGGAAAUAAAUAAUAACUUUAUUAUUGCCUCUAGGGCAUAUUUCCUUCAGUCUCCCACUUGCACUAGAGUCAAUAAUCUAGUUCACAUCACUAUGUGAUUUAACACCAAUAUUCACAUCUGCAUGUGAUUAAUACCCAUAGUUCACAUCAUCAUGUGAUCAACACCCAAAGGGUUUAAGGUAUGAUCAUGUUUUGCUCGUGAGAGAAGCUUAGUCAACGGGUCUGUCAUAUUCAGAGCCGUAUGUAUUUCGCAAAUAUUCUAUGUCCACAAUGCUCUGCACGGAGCUACUCUAGCUAAUUGCUCCCACUUUCAAUAUGUAUCCAGAUUGAGACUUAGAGUCAUCUGGAUUGGUGUAAAAGCUUGCAUCGUUGUAACUUUUACGACGGGCUCUUUUAUCACCUCCAUAAUCGAGAAACGUCUCCUUAGUUCUCACUAAGGAUAUUCUUGACCCAUGUACAGUGAUCUACUUAUUAGAUCAAAAUUAUAUUCCUUUGCCAUAACACAGAGCAAGGUAUACAAUAGGUCUGGUUCACAGCAUAGCAUACUUCAUAGAACCUAUGACUGAGGCAUAGGGAAUGACUUUUCAUUCUCUUUCUAUUUUCUGCAAUGGUCGGGUCUUGAGUCUUACUCAACUUCACACCUUGUAACACAGGCAAGAACUCCUUCUUUGACUAUUCCAUUUUGAACUAUUUCAAAAGUUUAUCAAGGUAUGUACUCAUUGAAAAAUCUUAUUAAGCGUCUUGAUCUAUCUAUAUAGAUCUUGAUGCUCAAUGUGUAAGCAGCUUCACCGAGGUCUUGCUUUGAAAAACUCUUAUUCAAGUAUCCUUUCAUGCUAUCCAAAAUUUCCAUAUCAUUUCCAAUUAACAAUAUGUCAUCCACAUAUAAUAUUAGAAAUGCUACAGAGCUCCCACUCACUUUCUUGUAAAUACAGGCUUCUUCAAAAGUCUGUAUAAAACCAUAUGCUUUGAUCAACUCAUCAAAACGUAUAUUCCAACUCCGAGAUGCUUGCACCAGUCCAUUGAUGGAUUGCUGGAGCUUGCACACUUUGUUAGCAUCUUUAGGAUUGACAAAAACUUUCUGGUUGCAUCAUAUACAACUCUUCUUUAAUAAAUCCAUUAAGGAAUGCAGUCUUGACAUCUAUUUGCCAGAUUUCAUAAAAUGUGGCAAUUGCUAACAUGAUUCAGACAGACUUAAGCUUCGAUACGAGUGAGAAAAUCUCAUCGUAUUCAACACCUUGAACUUGUUGAAAACAUUUCGCAACAAGUCGAGCUUAGUAGAUAGUAACACUACUAUCAAUGUCCGUCUUCCUCUUGAAGAUCCAUUUAUUUAACAUGGCUUGCUGAUCAUCGAGCAAGUCAAUCAAAGUCCAUACUUUGUUCUCAUACAUGGAUCAUAUCUCAGAUUUUAUGGCCUCAAGCCAUUUCGUGGAAUCUGGGCUCAUCAUCGCUUCCUCAUAGUUCAUAGGUUCAUCAUGGUCUAGUAACAUGACUUCCAGAACAUGAUUACCGUACCACUCUGGUGCGGAUCUUACUCUAGAAGACCUACAAGGUUUGGCAGCAACUUGAUCUGAAGUUUCAUGAUCAUCAUCAUUAACUUCCUCACUAAUUGGUGUAGUAAUCACUGGAACUGAUUUCUGUGAUGAACUACUUUCCAAUAAGGGAGAAGGUACAAAUACCUCAUCAAGUUCUACUUUCCUCCACUCACUUCUUUCGAGAGAAACUUCUUCUCUAGAAAGGAUCCAUCUUAGCAAUGAAUAACUUGCCUUCGGAUCUAUGAUAGAAGGUGUACCCAAUAGUUAUCUUUGGGUAUUCUAUGAAGUCGCACUUCUCCGAUUUGGGUUCGAGCUUAUCAGGUUGAAAACUUUUUUUCAUAUAAGCAUCGCAACUCCAAGCUUUAAGAAACGACAGCUUAGGUUUACUUCUAAACCAUAGUUCAUACGGUGUCGUCUCAACGGAUUUAGAUGGUGCCCUAUUAAACGUGAAUGCAGCUGUCUCUAAUGCACAACCCCAAAACGAUAGUGGUAAAACCGAUAAGAGACAUCAUAGAUCGCACCAUAUCCAAUAAAGUGCGAUUACGACGUUCGAACACACCAUAACGUUGUGGUGUUCCAGGUGGCGUGAGCUGUGAAACUAUUCCAUAUUGUUUUAAUUGAAGACCAAACUCAUAACUCAAAUAUUCGUCUCCGCGAUCAGAUCGCAGAAACUUUAUUUUCUUGGUACGAUGAUUUUUCCACUUCACUCUGAAAUUCUUUGAACCUUUCGAUUAUUUCAGACUUAUGUUUCAUCAAGUAGAUAUACCCAUAUCUGCUCAAAUCAUCUUGUGAAGGUCAGAAAAUAACGAUACUUGCCACAAGCAUCAACACUCAAUGGAUCGCAUACAUCGGUAUGUAUUAUUUCCAAUAAGUCAGUAGCUUGUUCCAUUGUUCCGGAGAACGGAGUUUUAGUCAUCUUGCCCAAAAGGCACGGUUCGCAAGCAUCAAAUGAUUCAUAACCAAGUGAUUCCGAAAAUCCAUCUUUAUGGAGUUUCUUCAUGCGCUUUACACCGAUAUGACCCAAACAGCAGUGUCACAAAUAAGUUGCACUAUUAUUAUUAACUUUGUAUCUUUUGGCAUCAAUAUUAUGAAUAUGUGUAUCGCUACGAUCGAGAUCCAACAAACUAUUUUCAUUGGGUGUAUGACCAUUUGAAGGAUUUAUUCAUGUAAACAGAACAACAAUUAUUCUCUGAUUUUAAAUGAAUAAACGUAUUGCAAUAAACAUGAUCAAAUCAUAUUCAUGCUCAACGCAAAUGCCAAAUAACAUUUAUUUAGGUUUAACACUAAUCCCGAAAGUAUAGGGAGUGUGCGAUGAUGAUCAUAUCAAUCUUGGAACCACUUCCAACAUACAUCGUCACUUCACCCUUAACUAGUCUCUGUUUAUUCUGCAAUCCCGUUUCGAGUUACUAAUCUUAGCAACUGAACUAGUAUCAAAUACUGAGGGAUUGCUAUAAACACUAAUAAAGUACACAUCAAUAUCAAAUAUACUUAUGUUCACUUUGCCAUCCUUCUUAUCCGCCAAUCACUUGGGGUAGUUCCGCUUCCAGUGACCAGUCCCUUUGCAGUAGAAGCACUUAGUCUCAGGCUUAGGACCAGAUUUGGGCUUCUUCACUUGAGCAGCAACUUGCUUGCCGUUCUUCUUGAAGUUCCCUUUCUUCCCUUUGCCCUUUUCUUGAAACUAGUGGUCUUGUCAAUCAUCAACACUUGAUGUUUUUCUUGAUUUCUACCUUCGUUGAUUUCAGCAUCACGAAGAGCUUGGGAAUCAUUUCCGUUCUCCCUUGCAUAUUAUAGUUCAUCACAAAGUUCUACUAACUUGGUGAUGGUGACUAGAGAAUUCUGUCAAUCACUAUCUUAUCUGGAAGAUUAACUCCCACUUGAUUCAAGCGAUUGAAGUACUCAGACAAUCUGAGCACAUGCUCACUAGUUGAGCGAUUCGCCUCCAUCUUUUAGCAAUAGAACUUGUUGGAGACUUCAUAUCUCUCAACUCGGGUAUUUGCUUGAAAUAUUAACUUCAAUUCCUGGAACAUCUCAUAUGGUCCAUGACGUUCAAAACAUCUUUGAAGUCCCGAUUCUAAGCCGUUAAGCAUGGUGCACUAAACUAUCAAGUAGUCAUCAUAUUGAGCUAGCCAAAUAUUCAUAACGUCUACAUCUGCUCCUGCAAUAGGUAUGUCACCUAGCGGUGCAUCAAGGACAUAAUUCUUCUGUGCAGCAAUGAGGAUAAACCUCAGAUCACGGACCAAGUCCGUAUCAUUGCUACUAACAUUUUUCAACAUAGUUUUCUCUAGGAACACAUAUAAAAACAUAGGGAAGCAAAAACAUAGGGAAGCAACAACGCGAGCUAUUGAUCUAUAACACAAUUUGCAAAAUACUACCAGGACUAAGUUCAUGAUAAAUUCAAGUUCAAUUAAUCAUAUUACUUAAGAACUCCCACUUAGACAGACCUCUCUCUAGUCAUCUAAGUGAUCACUUGAUCCAAAUCAACUAAACCAUGUCCGAUCAUCACGUGAGAUGGAGUAGUUUCAAUGGUGAACAUCAUUAUGUUGAUCAUAUCUACUAUAUGAUUCACGCUCGACCUUUCGGUCUCCGUGUUCCGAGGCCAUAUCUGUAUAUGCUAGGCUCGUCAAGUUUAACCCGAGUAUUCCGCGUGUGCAACUGUUUUGCACCCGUUGUAUUUGAACGUAGAGCCUAUCACACCCGAUCAUCACGUGGUGUCUCAGCACGAAGAACUUUCGCAACGGUGCAUACUCAGGGAGAACACUUCUUGAUUAUUAGUGAGAGAUCAUCUUAAAAUGCUACCGUCAAUCAAAGCAAGAUAAGAUGCAUAAAGGAUAAACAUCACAUGCAAUCAAUAUAAGUGAUAUGAUAUGGCCAUCAUCAUCUUGUGCUUGUGAUCUCCAUCUUCGAAGCACCGUCGUGAUCACCAUCGUCACCGGUGCGACACCUUGAUCUUCAUUGUAGCAUCGUUGUCGUUACGCCAUCUAUUGCUUCUACGACUAUCGCUACCGCUUAGAGAUAAAGUAAAGCAAUUACAGGGCGUUUGCAUUUCAUAGAAUAAAGCGACAACCAUAUGGCUCCUGCUAGUUGCCGAUAACUUCGGUUACAAAACAUGAUCAUCUCAUACAAUAAAAUAUAGCAUCACGUCUUGACCAUAUCACAUCACAACAUGCCCUGCAAAAACAAGUUAUACGUCCUCUACUUUGUUGUUGCAAAUUUUACGUGGCUGCUACGGGCUUUAGCAAGAACCGUUCUUACCUACGCAUAAAAACUACAACGAUAGUUCGUCAAGUUGGUGCUGUUUUAACCUUCGCAAGGACCGGGCAUAGCCACACUCGAUUCAGCUAAAGUGAGAGAGACAGACACCCGCCAGCCACCUUUAAGCACGAGUGCUCGCAACGGUGAAACCAGUCUCGCGUAAGCGUACGCGUAAUGUCGGUCCGGGCCGCUUCAUCUCACAAUACCGCUGAACCAAAGUAUGACAUGCUGGUAAGCAGUAUGACUUGUAUCGCCCAUAACUCACUUGUGUUCUACUCAUGCAUAUAACAUCAACGCAUAAAACCUAGGCUCGGAUGCCACUGUUGGGAACGUAGUAAUUUCAAAAAAAUUCCUACGCACACGCAAGAUCAUGGUGAUGGCAUAGCAACGAGAGGGGAGAGUGUUGUCCACGUACCCUCGUAGACCGUAAGCGGAAGCGUUAGCACAACGCGGUUGAUGUAGUCGUACGUCUUCACGAUCCGACCGAUCCAAGUACCGAACGUACGGCACCUCCGAGUUCAGCACACGUUCAGCUCAAUGACGAUCCCCGGGCUCCGAUCCAGCAAAGCUUCGGGGAUGAGUUCCGUCAGCACGAUGGCGUGGUGACGAUGAUGAUGUUCUACCGGCGCAGGGCUUCACCUAAACUCCGCGACGAUAUGACCGAGGUGCAAUAUGGUGGAGGGGGGCACCGCACACGGCUAAGGAACGAUCCGUAGAUCAACUUGUGUGUCUAUGGGGUGCCCCCCUGCCCCCGUAUAUAAAGGAGCCAGGGGAGAGGAGGCGGCCGGCCAAGGAGGGCGCGCCAAGGGGAGUCCUACUCCCACCGGGAGUAGGACUCCCUCCUUCCUUGUUGGAGUAGGAGAAGGGGGGAAAGAGGGGGAGAGCAGGAAGGAAAGGGGGGCCGCACCCCUUGUCCAAUUCGGACUAGAGGGGGGCUGCGCGCCUCCUUCCUUUCGGCCUCUCUCCUCUAUUCCCGUAUGGCCCAAUAAGGCCCAUAUACUCCCCGGCGAAUUCCCGUAACUCUCCGGUACUCCGAAAAAUACCCGAAUCACUCGGAACCUUUCCGAACUCCGAAUAUAGUCGUCCAAUAUAUCGAUCUUUACGUCUCGACCAUUUCGAGACUCCUCAUCAUGUCCCCGAUCUCAUCCGGGACUCCGAACUCCUUUGGUACAUCAAAACUAAUAAACUCAUAAUAUAACUGUCAUCAAAACCUUAAGCGUGCAGACCCUACGGUUCGAGAACAAUGUAGACAUGACCUUGAACUAUUCUUGGUCAAUAACCAAUAGCGGAACCUGGAUGCCCAUAUUGGCUCCUACAUAUUCUACGAAGAUCUUUAUCGGUCAAACCGCAUAACAACAUACUUUGUUCCCUUUGUCAUCGGUAUGUUAAUUGCCCGAGAUUCGAUCGUCGGUAUCUAAUACCUAGUUCAAUCUCGUUACCGGCAAGUCUCUUUACUCGUUACGUAAUGCAUCAUCCCGUAACCAACUCAUUGGUCACAUUGCUUGCAAGGCUUAUAGUGAUGUGCAUUACCGAGAGGGCCCAGAGAUACCUCUCUGACAAUCGGAGUGACAAAACCUAAUCUCGAAAUACGCCAACUCAACAUGUACCUUCGGAGACACCUGUAGUACUCCUUUAUAAUCACCCAGUUACGUUGUGACGUUUGGUAGCACCCAAAGUGUUCCUCCGGUAAACGGGAGUUGCAUAAUUCUCAUAGUUACAGGAACAUAUAUAAGUCAUGAAGAAAGCAAUAGCAACAUACUAAACGAUCAAGUGCUAGGCUAACGGAAUGGGUCAUGUCAAUCACAUCAUUCUCCUAAUGAUGUGAUCCCAUUAAUCAAAUGACAACUCUUUUGUCCACGGCUAGGAAACAUAACCAUCUUUGAUAAACGAGCUAGUCAAGUAGAGGCAUACUAGUGACACUAUGUUUGUCUAUGUAUUCACACAUGUAUUAUGUUUCCGGUUAAUACAAUUCUAGCAUGAAUAAUAAACAUUUAUCAUGAAAUAAGGAAAUAAAUAAUAACUUUAUUAUUGCCUCUAGGGCAUAUUUCCUUCAGGAAGGCCGUGUUGGGGGCGCGGCUGGAGAUGCUCUUAAAACCCAUGUACAUGGUUUUUCUAAAAAGAACAUAGAAACUUUAUUCAUUUUCAAUAACAAGUACAUCGUUUAUGAGGAAGGGGUACAAUUUUGCUCAAGGGCUCCUCAAACCAGUUCAAAGAUGAAAAAAAAAUCUAGCUACCUUAGCAAGUUCAUGUACGACUCUAUUUGCUUCUCUAUUACAAUGCUCAAAUUUAGUAAUGGGAAAGUCACAUGCUAAAAAAUAACAAUCGUCAAACACUGCCGCCGCUGUACUAGAUGACCGUCCUCCAUUAUUCAACCUAUGUACAUAGUUAAAACUACUCAUUUGCCUAAUAAAAGAAGUUAAAACUUGAUAAGGACCGAACCUUGUGGUGAGAUCCGACCUGUUGUUGCUGCCCGAUCUUUCACGGUACUCCACCUCUAGCAGCAAUAGCCUCUCGCCCGCGCACGCGAUGUACACGAAUUAGAGGGUUUGAACCUUGCGGCUGAGCACGAGAGAAACAAUCCGAACGACGGCACCUCACGCGCAAAACAAUUUCCUCGCAGAAAUCGCAACAAAGAGGUUUUCUAAAGCUACCUCAAAAACUUGAUACGGGUGUCUAUCCUCGAAAACAUAUAUGUCUAUUUCAUAAAAUAUAACCUGACUAUACAAUGACCGUACUAAUAUACAAGCAUAGCCGACUCAUACAUGGUUUGUCCAACACGCUAACCAGACUCCUAGCUAACCCAAAGGGAAAACAAACUUACCCAUCAAAACACAACGACUGACUUGAUUAAAUCUUACUAGCAAACAUGUCCGUGCGUUGCAAUGGGAGCAAAAAAUUACCUCUCAUACACACUCUCGAUACAUCAGCAAAUCUCUUGAAAUUGUGCACGAUGCCACAUGAAAAACAACAUGAUAAGUGAUGUUGUGCAAAAACAUAAAGACGUGAUGAUUUUUGAAGUGUAUUCAACGUGUUUCCAAUUUAGACUAUAUAAAUAUAUAUCUAGUUGCAGGUAUAUCUUUACGCAUUUGUUGUCGUUCCUCCUCGCUGGUGCCCAACAAAUAUUUGCGUUACGAUGAAAAUAGCAAAGUAUAUUUUAUUAUUUAAUGAUAGCAUUUGCAUAAGAGCAUUAUUUUGGCCUCCUUUAUAUAUGUGCUUUUUUUGUAAUCCAAGUCAAAUCUUAAUUUGGUUGCAAUCAUAUUAGACAACUCCAUAAAAAACAAUCAAUUUACGUAAAGCUUGUAUCAGCAACAUUGUACAUUUUUUAUACAUCAGAAACAUUUUAUAUAUACACAUUUAAUACUUUCCAAUUUCAUGGUCAACAUUUUUAAAACAUAUUUAUUUUUUAUGUCUAGUUUUUAUACAUAUCCUACAUUUUUUGUAUACAUCAGGAAUAUUUUUUAUAUACACGUUUAACAUAGUCCAAAUACAUGUACUAUUUUUGAAAACUUAUAUUUUUUUAUGUCUACUUUGUUCCACACCACAUUAUAUAUGUUUCUAUACAUUUUCCUUAUACAUCAAAAAACAUUUUUUGUAUGCACAUUUGACACUUUUUUAAUAUAUGAUUAACAUUUAUUAAAGAAUGAAAAAUUAUAUUGCUAUUUUUCUAUACGAACUGUACUUUUUUGUAUAUAAUGGAAACAUUUUUUGUAUACAUGUUUAAAAUUUCUUUAGUGCAUGAUUAACAUUCUUUCAAAGUCUGCAUAUAAGUGAUUUUUAUGAUUAAAAUAUUUAUAGUAUUUCGAAAUAAAGCCAAAAGAAAAAAAAUACAGAACAUAUGUAAAAAUAAGUGCUAGAGGCCGCUCUGGGCCAGCCCAAUCGGGCGUCUGUCUAGAGAAAAGGGGGAGAUGGAGGUUCGAACCUAGGUCUUCUAGGUGAAAGAGGGAGAGUCCAUCCAACCGGGCUGGCCAAGCCCUUAGUUUAGUUUAGGGAAUCAGAACUUAUUGAACCAAAAGCAAUGGCCGACUAAGCAUAUAAGUGGGUAAAUUAUGUAAACUAUAUGGGCAAAUUCCAUAACGUACGACAGAAACCCAAUUUUCUUUAUUAUUAAAAAAAAUUAGGCAAAGAUAAAGAUAAAGAUAUGAAACAAAAACAACUAGUGCUACUUUUUAUUUGGCGUACGUCAUCUCUGGGUCUGCUUCGAGGUGGGCCCUAGCCGAUGGUCUUCAAGGAAAGAUAGCUCCACGCACUGCUAGUCCUAGAUAGGGGUGGGCACUUUUGAACCGAAAACCGAAAAACCAAACCGAACCGAACCAUAUUAACCGAUUUAUCUAUUAGUUUGGUGAUUCGAUUUUUUGUUCGGUGGGAAAUUUUAAGGUUGUUCGGUGUUUGGUUUUUGUUCGGUUUCCAGUGCCCAAAAACCGAAUACACCGAAAAAACCGAUAUGUACGAUACCCCAUGCAAUACCUUGUUUUCGAAAGUUCAGCGGGGGCGCGUCCUCUGACAAAUACUUGUUGGUUGUGGCAGACGUCGGGCCAGCCCCUAGAUGAGUUUCUAAUCUCACAAUCUAACUAGUACUCCUAUGUAACGCCAUACUAGCAUGGCUAACUGAAUUUGUUUAGAUUAUUUUACUAUUGUUUGCAUGCAACAUAGUCAAUGGCCGUAUCCUUCUAGCAAGUACUUAUUAAGAUUUCUUUUUUUUGUUUGAAAACUUAUUAAGAUUUCUAUCCAUGCAAUAUCGCGUAGGAGUAUGUAUGCAUGCCCGGCGCUUGCUUAUGGAAUACUAGCAAUUAGUGUAUCAAUUAAUGCAUGAGUUGCUUAGUUUACACGCAUCACACAUAUUCUUCCGUACAUAAUACAUGUAACGCCCCAUGUGAUUUUACACUUAGUUAUGUUCACUAGUUUGCUUGACCGAAUAAAGCACUGACUGAUGUUAAGGUUGCUAGCUCUUGUGAUAUAUACUGAUGAGUGCAUGUAUUUUGGUUUUUCGGUUAACCGAAUAAACCGAACCGAUAUAUUAUGGUUAAUAUGGUUCGGUUUCUAAAUAUUGUGUGAUUAAUUCGGUUUUCAUUUCUUCAAAACCGAAAUUAUAAAACACCGAAUAAACCGAACCGUAUUAACCAUAUAAACCGAAUGCCCAGCCCUAGUCCUAGAUGAUGCAUGGCCGUACUUCUCCUUGCAUGACAGGAAUAUAAAUAAGAAUCCUCCAAGCACCGUUUUCCUUUCAAACCAAUGAACUGAAUCUCUACCUCUCCAACUACAAUCCCACGUAUACUCAGCCACACGUACAUCUUUGUUACUUGGAUACGCAUGGCUCAAUGGUUGGAAGUAGUGCUCACGUCGCUUCUUUUCCUUAGGACACCGAUAAAUGCCACACGUGUGGGCGUUAGGGAGACUGCCCACACAUUUUGUAUGGUGUAUAAGAGGAACAGCUCACAUACCUACGUGUGGACAAAACAAGUAAUGCCCACACAACCCUUUUUUCCCCUCCCGAUCCCUCUCACGCGCGUGCGUGUGGGCGAAGUAGAUAACGCCCACACGCCCCGUAUGUCAGACCUCGUACCUCGUGGUCCCGCAGGCCACGUGACAGUCACCGCGCGCCCGCAGUUGUCAUGUCCAGACCCUUGUCCAUGUUCGUUUAACUGCAGUUGCCAUGUCGUUGAACUACGGUUGCCAUUUCGGACAACUGCAGUUGCCAUGGUUGCUCAACUGCAGUUGCCAUGUAUGGUCUGGUCUACUGUAGUUGCCAUGAUUUCAAAACUUUAGGAAUUGUCACAUACUAACACUAGGCAGUUGAGAGAGUUGUCAUGUGCUCACAAGCAUGCUAGGGCAGUUGCCAUGUAAAAAGGACGAGUUGCCAUCUGCUUACGUGCGCGUUAGGGCAGUUGCCAUGUAUCAUGGAAAAACACAUGUCAACUAGGUAAAGAGAGCGUUGUCAUCUGCUUACGUGCACACUAAGCAGUUGCCGUGUAUCCUGUAAAACACAAAAAAGAGUUGACACCUGCUUAUAAAGCACACUAGGGCAGUUGCCAUGUGCGCUGCAAAACAUAUGGCAACUAGCAGCUUGGGUGUGGAGAGGAGACGGGCGUGUGGGCGAGAUGGCAAAUGCCCACACACUAGCCCUUGUGCGUGCGUGGAAAGUGGCGUGUGGGCAAACUGCUGAACGCCCACACACCAGCCCCUCCCGUGUGGUGAAACGGCCGUGUGGGCGACCGGGUGAACGCCCACACACAAGGCCAGUCCUACGUGACACUAGAAACAUGCCAAGAUUCGUGCGCUCGCGAACGAACGCGGAUCCACGUGUGUGGGCGAGAUGCAAACGCCCACACGUGUGGGCGUUAACAUUUCCGUUUCCUUAAGAAACAAAUCAAUAUGUUCCUUAUCUUAUGAAACUAAAUCAAGAAAUACUUUCACACAUGUAACAACAGGAAACGCUUUGUCCAUCUCAUCAUCUUCACUUAAUUGAAAAUAAUUAGGAGUGUAGAUAUUUCGCCCUUCUGAUCCCACGGUAUCAUCAACAUCACCCAUGUUUGUAUCAAAACUACUCAUCAUCGGAGUCUUCGUGCCGAUGCCGGAUAGACGGACAAGUGUGACAACUCUUGCGCAUGUGGAGGCUCCGCCUCCUCCUCCCCUUCCGCCUCCGCGUCCAGUUCGAUGCACAAUGCUGCCAUCACCGUCCGUUCUUGCCGGAUGAACCGCCGAUUGGGCUCAAUGUAGACAUCAUCCUGGAUAGACUCCAGGAUGACACUAUGCUCUGCCAUUUCCAUCGCUUGGGCAGCCUCGUACUCCACCUGCGCGACUGCCAUGGCGAAGCCCGCAGCCGGCUCUGCCGCCACCUCCUCCUCCUCCCCGCCUGCUCCUCCUCAUCUUCAUCCUCCUUCUUCUCCCCCCUCCCCGGCUCGGGCCAAAUCGGAGGGAGGCCCGCAGCGAAACGAGCAGCUCACCUUGCAAGGAUCUCCUCCAACAGCUGCAAACGACGCUCCGAAGUGACCAUGACGUAGGUGGUGAUCCGGCGCCUUGGCAUGGUGCAACGGGUGGAUUGCAAAUGGCGAUGGCGGAGAGAAGAAAGGGAAAAUGGGGCGUAUGGGGUUCGGUUGCCGCCGUCUAACUUAAAUAGUCGGCCUCCUCCCUCAGGCAGCACACCGGAGCGGCGCCACGCGGCAUGGAGCGGAAGAGGCGCCCGUCGGACCAACGGUCUCUUUGUAUCUCCGCGUGGGCCCUAUUGACAUGGAAGCCAUGUCCGAGCAUGUCCAUACGUCCUCAUAUCCACACCAUAUAUGGGUCCAGUAUGGGGAGUGUCGGUCAGUCCGGGCGUUUGGGCCGACUAUGGAGAGCUCGGUUGGGUGGCCAAAAAUCGUCCCGAAACUGACCGGCCAAUCCGUCCGGACAUUUGGGGCGGGUAUAGGUCCGAUUGUAGAUACUCUUAUGGCAACUAUUUUAGAUGCUUGCAAAAAAUGGUGGCUAAAUGACAUCAAUGAGCUAUGUACAAAAAAUGUGUUCAAACAUAUGUGCACUGUUUGAGCGGAAUUUGUAUUUCGUUUGUAUGGAGAUCAUUUGGUGUUAUUUGGCCACCAAACAUUGCAAGCACCUAAAACAUUUGUUCAUAAUCAAUGACAUUUGUAAGUGUAGUUCUCCUUACCAACUACACUUGCAGAACUAGGACAUGUUUGAUUGCCAUCCACACUUUGCCACACUUUUAUGUCACAAGUGUGGCAAAUUGAGGCAAAUGUAUGGUUGCAGACAUAGUUGUGGUAUGCCACACUUGUUUAGUCACAUAUACACCACUUGUCAUAGACUCAGUUGCUAGCCAACUUUUGCCACAAGUGUAGCGAUCAAUUUGGCCACCACAAAAACAGUGGUAUGCCACACUUUUUGGCACACAAGUGUGGCGAAGUGUGGAUGGCAACCAAACAUACCCCUAUUCUUUCUUUGGCUCAUGUGUUAUGAGGAGCUACUGCUUGUUCGUAUGAAACCAACCAUGGAGUUUGUCACCCCAUUGCCUACCUCUGAUGCAGAGGGCACAAGAAGAAUGAUUCAAGAAUGGAUGAAGAGGGACAAGCCGGAGGCGGAGGCCGAUAAGGGGCAUCCACGAAUUGAUCUCAACUUAAAAUGGGAUAUGCCCCUUUCCCACUAUUGUAUUUGAACAAAAUGAAACAAGUAAUCCUACUGUGUUAAAGAGUGAUAGGUUACAUAGAUACAUCACAUGCUGAUCAACAAAGUAGUACAAACAAUAUACCUCAAACUACUUGAGGGGGAAACAAAACAAUUUCUGUAAAUACAUCUGUCACGGCACCGGACAUGAUUUCAUCCCUAAAGAUAUCUACAUCAAUCCAAUUUGCUACGAAAGAAUUUUCUACCCUGUAAAGUAGAUCUUUUACACGGUCGAUGUGCAUCACAUGUGAUCAACCUUAUUGUCCAAGAGGGGUUGGAGAUUACUUGCAAGGCAGUGGAUAAUAUCCGGGAAAGCAUCAAGUUCGGUAGAAGCUCCCCCACUCCAUUGCUUGCAAAAAGAACCUAUCUCUAGAUGUCGUUACAUGGUGGAAUUCAACGCAUUUGAUGAUCAAAACAGCCCUAAAGUAUAGGAGAGCAUUCACCACUAUGAAUUUGCAGGACACCACAUUUACAUGCCAACCUACAAAUUUUGAAUGGGAAACGACGGAAUCUGUUCGCAGCUUGUUAGAGGUUUUCCUCGACACAACUAUGGUGGUGUCCAGUAAAUUAUAUCCAACGGCUCAUUUGUAUUUCCAGGAACUUUGAAAAAUUCAUCUAACAUUGCAAAGAGAGACCAAACAUAAGGAUAUUAUCAUCAAAUCUAUGGUUGAAGCAAUGCAAGAAAAGUUCAUGAAGUACUGGAAGCUGUCAUACUUGACCAUUUGUCUUCCGGUCAUACUCGACCCAAGGUAUAAGUUCAAAUUCUUGGAGUUUUGCUUGAAAUCUGGACUUGAAAGUGAAGCAACGAGAUAUCUUGCUAAAGUGAAGAGAACAUUCAAAGAUCUAUUAGUUAAAUAUUCUGUGCAUGAGGGUGACUCAAAUAUGGGAAAUGAUCAAGGAACCAGCAAUGUUGGUACAAGUAUUGGUAACCCAUGGGAUCUGUCGGGGAUAUACCCCGCAGUAUGACCUGAUGAUGUUAUGUACCUAGGGUAGGGUCAUGGACCUAUCUAGGAUACCAUACCCAAGGACAUCCUUAGACGAAGCUACCUUCCAGUCGACCAAGAGAGACUCCACUCGACCGGCUAGAAGUCACUCGACGAACCUAAAGACACUCGACCAUGAAGACUCACUCGACCAUCAGGAGUUCAGGAUCUACUCUGUAUCCAAACGGUCUGUAAUUAAGUAGUCUUAAUGGUCAUGAUGACACUUUAUGUAGGGCAUUACCAGUAACGCCCGGCCUUAAUGUACUUUAAUCCUCUGCUACGUGGGUUGGCUGGGGUCCUGGCGUCCUCUAUAUAAGCCACCCCCCUCCACUGGUAGAAGGGUUCGCACCCCUGCAACUCAUAUACACAUAAACCAGUCGACCGCCUCCGGGCUCCGAGACGUAGGGCUAUUACUUCCUCAGAGAAGGGCCUGAACUCGUUAAACACUCGUGUGUACAACUACUCCAUAGCUAGGAUCUUGCCUCUCCAUACCUACCCCCCAUUCUACUGUCAGACUUAGAACCACGACAAUUGGCGCCCACCAUGGGGCAGGUGUCUUAGCGACUUUUUGGAGGAGUUGCAAUUUGUCCAAUUGCCUUCAUCAUGGUUUCCGGCGGAACUCUGGUCGAGGGCCGCGAGAUCUGUCUCGGCGCGCUCGCUUUCAUCGCCGACGACUCCGCUUGGCUCCAGGAGGCACCACUCGACAUCGACGCGCUCCCCGUCCACGGGGCGACACACUUUCGGGUGUGUGUCCGCGGCGUCCUGGUGUGGCAGCCGUCGACCCCAUACCGGUCGACUCCUGUGACGUCUUCCCUCCCUGUCUCCCGCCAGCGCAAGCGCUCUGGUCGGUCGAGACUUCAGCGAUGGGUGAGGCAUGCGGUGGCUCGCCAAUCGGCCACCACCCAAGUCGCAUCAAUUGAGCCCGACGAAUCUCUCUACUGCCUGUUCGACCUGUCGACUGGCUCCGUAGAGACUGCAUCCGAGUGCGAUAGCAGUGAUCCAGCAGCGGAGGUCCUGAUGGUCAACGGGCCUCGUAACCCUCUCGGUUUCCCCUGCAAUGACGGGAUGGACGAUGGAGGCGAUCCCGCUCAGGCCCACGAAGAGUAUCAGCCCGAGCCGCUCACUUCUCAGCAGAGGGAAGAACUUCGCCGCCGGAACAUGGAUGCCCUGCAUACUCCCAUUGCAGGAGAAACCCCUGAGGCACGUGCCCUAGAAGAGGCGCGUUUGGCCAACUUGGCUGAAUGCACUCGACUGGAGAACCUCCAGCGAGCACUCGACGAGCGUGCGCGUCAGCGAGCACCCGACUCCCGCCGACGUCGGCUCUUUCCGCAACCGACUCAGGUAUAUCGAACCCUGAUUCAAAAUUUGGUAGCUGCAGCCCGUAUAGCGGAGUCAAUUUAGCCCUCUCAGUCAGAGGCUGGAAGAGGCUUGAUGCAGAUCAGAGAUUUGCUCCGGGCGGCAGGAGAUCAGAAUUCAGCCGUGUCUCAGUCGCGCAACAGGAUUCACAGUCGACCCGUCGCUGCGAAUACUGUUCAGUCGGCUCACAGCCCAAGGUUGCCUCCGAGGCGAGUGGGACAUGAAGGCCGGCGGGACCACUAUGAUGAUCGAUUUGAUCGUGAUGACAGGCGUCGAGUGCCCACUCCUCCCCCGAGAAGUGGGUCUAACGCCCAUCGGCAGCAAGAUGACAGACGCCAGCUUAGUGUUGGGCGGAGGGCUCCAGUCGACCCCAGAGGGCCAGGCUUUGACGCGAGGUCCAUCAUCGUGCAAGGUUUGAUCGACCGGAACAGAGCUCAUAGAGGUGGCCAUGACAGAGAUGUGCCCACAAGCAGCCGAGUCCACGUUUCAAGUUCAGAAUGCUUUAGCAGAGCCAUCAGAGCCGCAGUGAUACCCCCCCAACUUCAGGUUGGCGACUGGAGUGAGUAAGUUCACCGGAGAGUCUAAGCCUGAAACUUGGCUUGAAGACUACCGGGUGGCUGUUCAGAUUGGUGGCGGUAAUGAUGAGGUGGCCAUGAAGCAUUUGCCACUUAUGCUAGAGGGUUCAGCCAAGGCGUGGUUGAAUCAGUUAGCUCCUAGCAGCAUUUACACUUGGGAAGAUCUUUCCCGAGUGUUCGUCAGGACGUUCGAGGGAACUUGCAAGCGACCGGCCGGAUUGACAGAGCUGCAAGUUUGCGUACAAAAGUCGAGUGAAACACUGAGAGAUUACAUCCAGAGAUGGAUCACUUUGCAUCAUACUGUAGAGAAUGUGUCAGACCACCAAGCGGUAUGUGCCUUCAAGGAUGGUGUCAAGAACAGAGAGUUGAGCCUGAAGUUUGGUCGAGCUAGAGAUAUGACCCUGAGUCGGAUGAUGGAAAUAGCCACCAAGUACGCCAAUGGCGAAGAAGAGGACCGACUCCGGAGUGGCAAGUACAAGCCGAGUCAGUCGGAGAAAGGAAAUUCCAGUCGGAAGCAGAAGCGGAAGGCCGAGCCAGCUGCUCCUGGAGAGGCUCUGGCCGUGACUCAGGGUAAAUUCAAAGGGAAGCCCAAAGGAUCUUGGAACCCCAAGAAGGUGAAAGAUAAGGAAGGUAAUGACGUGAUGGAUCUACCGUGUCAUAUCCACACGAAGAAAGACGAAGAGGGUAGCUUCAUCUGCCCAAAGCACACCACUCGCCAGUGCCGUCUCUUAAUCCAGCAGUCUCAAGGAAAACAGCCGAAAGACAAAGAGAAGGAGUCGGACAAGGCUGAGGACAAGGAAGACAGUGAUGGAGAGUACCCUCAUGUCAACUCCACUUUGAUGAUUUUUGCUGAUGUAGAGAGCAAAAGUCGACUGAAAGUGAUCAACCGUGAGGUCAAUAUGGUCGCCCCGGCGACACCAAACUAUCUGAGAUGGUCGCAGACUCCCAUUACUUUCGACCAGUCUGAUCACCCUACUCACAUUGCCACCCCUGGGAGGCAAGCGCUGGUGGUCGACCCAGUCGUCGAAGGCACUUGACUGACGAAGGUAUUGAUGGAUGGCGGCAGUGGAUUGAAUAUACUGUAUGCAGAGACGCUCAAGGGAAUGGGCAUUCCGAUGUCCAGGCUCAGUUCCAGCAACAUGAGUUUUCACGGAGUCAUCCCGGGAAAAAAGGCUGAGUCACUCGGCCAAAUAGCUCUGGAUGUAGUGUUCGGCGACUCGAAGCAUUUCCGCAAAGAGAAGCUGACAUUUGAAGUCGUGGAUUUCCGAAGCGCCUACCACGCUAUUUUGGGAAGACCAGCCUAUGCCCGCUUCAUGGCUCGACCAUGUUACGUGUACCUCAAGUUAAAGAUGCCUGGCCCCAAAGGCGUGAUCACCAUCACUGGCAGCCGGAAGAAGGCAGAAGAAUGUUUCCAGAAAGGCUCAAAGAUUGCGGAUGACCAGAUAACAGUGGUAGAGCUGGAAGAAUACAAGAAGAAUGCAGAUCCGAGUGAUUUGCUGCGGGCCAAGAAGCCCGCCACAGAGUCAGCAUUUCAGUCGUCUGGGGAGACAAAGCCAGUUCAUAUCCACCCGACUGACCCCAAUGCAGCUCCGACCCAUAUUUCCACAACACUCGACUCUAAAUAGGAAGAAGCGCUCAUCCAGUUCCUUCGUGAGAACUGGGACAUCUUCGCAUGGAAGCCAGCUGACAUGCCGGGUGUUCCUAGGGGGCUGGCUGAGCAUCGCCUUAGAGUCGACUCAAAAGCGAAACCAGUUAAAGAACAUCUUCGACGGUCCGCCGUUCAGAAGAAAAAAGCCAUUGGCGAGGAGGUGGCUCGACUCCUUGCAGCAGAGUUCAUCCGAGAGAUAUACCACUCCGAGUGGCUCGCCAAUGUCGUCAUGGUUCCCAAGAAGGACAACUCACUUCGCAUGUGCAUUGAUUUCAAACAUAUCAAUCGGGCCUGCCCGAAAGAUCAUUUUCCUCUCCCUCGCAUCGACCAAAUUGUCGACUCGACCGCAGGAUGCGAGAGAUUGUCUUUUUUAGAUGCUUAUUCCGGGUAUCAUCAGAUCCGUCUGUAUGGACCUGACGAAAUCAAAAUAGCUUUCAUCACUCCAUCCAGGUGCUUCUGCUAUAUCACCAUGCCAUUCGGCCUCAAGAAUGCCGGAGCCACGUUCAUGAGAAUGAUUCAAAAGUGUUUACUCACUCAAAUCAGUCGGAAUGUGGAAGCGUACAUGGAUGAUAUCAUGGUCAAGUCGCGAAAGGGUUCCGACCUAUUGACUGACCUAGCUGAAAUAUUUGCCAAUCUCAGAAGGUAUGAUAUCAAGCUCAAUCCAUCAAAGUGCACAUUCGGAGUACCUGGCGGAAAGUUACUCGAUUUUCUCGUUUCAGAACGAGGAAUCGAUGCUAACCCAGAAAAAGUUGGCACCAUACUCCGAAUGAAACGCCCUGUGCGUGUGCACGACGUCCAGAAGCUUACUGGAUGCUUGGCCGCUUUAAGUUGAUUCAUCUCUCGCCUCGGUGAAAAGGCAUUACCCCUUUACCGACUGAUGAAGAAGGCAGACAAGUUCGAGUGGACUCCAAAAGCUGAUGCAGCGUUUGCCGAGUUAAAAACUCUGCUCUCCACCCAGCCGGUGCUUGCUGCUCCAAUCAGCAAAGAGCCUCUGUUGCUUUAUAUUGCAGCCACAGGACAAGUCGUUAGUACAGUAGUUACGGUCGAGCGGGAAGAAGAAGGGAAAGCCUUCAAAGUUCAGCGCCCAGUGUAUUAUCUCUCUGAAGUUUUGACCCCAUCGAAGCAAAGAUAUCCUCAUUAUCAUAAGCUCGUAUAUGGGGUCUACAUGACCAUGAAGAAGGUUGCUCAUUAUUUCUCUGAUCAUGAUAUUACAGUCGUCAGCGACGCACCAUUGUCAGAGAUUCUGCACAACAGAGAUGCAACUGGUCGAGUGGCUAAGUGGGCGAUUGAACUCCUUCCCCUUGAUGUCAAAUUCGAGGCAAAGAAAUCCAUUAAGUCCCAGGCUAUAGCAGAUUUCCUUGCCGAGUGGAUUGAGCAACAGUAGCUGACUCAAGUUCACUCGGAGCAUUGGACCAUGUUCUUUGAUGGCUCUAAGAUGCUAAAUGGUUCUGGUGCUGGGGUUGUUUUGGUUUCCCCCCGAGGGGACAAGCUCAGAUAUGUGCUCCAGAUCCACUUUGAUUCCUCCAACAAUGAAGCAGAAUAUGAAGCACUCUUGUAUGGGUUGCGCAUGGCCAUUUCACUCGGCGUCCAUCGUCUUAUGGUUUAUGGCGACUCAGAUUUGGUGGUCAAUCAGGUGAUGAAGGAGUGGGACGUUAGAAGCCCAGCCAUGAUUGGAUACUGCAAUGCAGUGAGGAAGCUCGAAAAGAAGUUCGAAGGGUUAGAGCUCCACCACAUACCCCGACUGAAAAAUCAAGCAGCUGACGAUCUGGCGAAGAUAGGAUCCAAGAGAGAAGCCAUCCCCAGCGAUGUGUUCUUGGAGCAUAUCCACACUCCGUCAGUCGUAGAAGAUCCUUUUACCGAUGAAGCUCCGCAACCUAAGAGUGUUACGGACCCGACUGAGGUUGAAGUCCCAGCAGUGGUCGACCUGAUCAUGGAAGUUUUAGUGAUCACUCCAGAUUGGACAGUACCAUAUAUCGCGUAUAUCUUGAGGAAAGAACUCCCGGAGGACGAAGAAGAGGCUCGACAGAUCGUCCGCCGAUCUAAGGCCUUUACUGUGAUAAGAGGACAAUUGUACAGAGAAAGCGCGACUGGAGUUGGUCAGAAAUGCAUAACACCGGAGGAAGGUCGAAUAAUCCUUGAUGACAUCCACUCGGGGACCUGUGGCCAUCAUGCGUCCUCUCGGACCAUCGUGGCCAAAGCAUACCGAGCCGGAUUUUAUUGGCCAAGAGCGAAUGAAAUGGCGAAGGAGAUAGUCGACAAGUGCGAGGGAUGUCAAUUUUACUCCAAUAUGUCGCACAAGCCCGCGUCAGCUUUGAAGACUAUACCACUCGUCUGGCCCUUUGCGGUGUGGGGUUUGGAUAUGGUCGGUCAUUUGAGAACAGGCAGAAGCAGUUUUACCCAUGUGCUGGUAGCAGUUGACAAGUUCACUAAGUGGAUCGAAGCUAAACCCAUCAAGAACCUCGAUGCCGGUACUGCUGUCAGCUUCAUUAGAGAAUUGAUAUUCAGAUAUGGAGUCCCGCACAGCAUCAUCACUGACAAUGGGUCAAACUUCGACUCCGAAGAGUUCAGAGCUUUCUGCACGUCUCAAGGCACACGAGUCGACUAUGCUUCAAUCGCUCAUCCACAGUCGAAUGGUCAGGCAGAACGAGCCAACGGUUUGAUUCUCAAAGGGUUGAAACCCCGUUUGAUGCGUGAUCUUAAGCAUGCGGCCGGUGCAUGGGUCGACGAACUUCCUUCGGUGCUUUGGGGGUUAAGGACCACGCCCAACCGGUCGACUGGAAGAACUCCAUUCUUCCUGGUCUACGGAGCUGAAGCAGUCUUGCCAAGCGACCUUCUCCACAAUGCUCCCCGGGUCGAGCUCUACACCGAAGCUAAAGCAGAACAAGCGCGGCAGGAUGCAGUCGACCUUUUAGAGGAACAAAGGGAGAUGGCUCUGAUCAGAUCAACCAUUUACCAACAAGACUUGCGUCGCUUCCACGCCAAAAACGUGAAGAGUCGAGCCUUCCAGGAAGGAGAUUUAGUUCUCCGAGUGGACCAGCAGAAACCACACAAGCUUGCUCCUUCUUGGGAAGGUCCCUUCAUCGCUACCAAGGUUCUCCACAAUGGAGCAUACCGUCUUUACAAUGUCGAGCAUCAGAUCGACGAGCCCCGAGCAUGGAACGCGGAGCUUCUCCGCCCCUUUUACACUUAAGUAUUCACUCGGAUGAGUUGUAAUAAAAGUACUUCUGUAGUUUAUUUGUCAAAGACAAGAGCUUUAUAAUUUUCCCAGUAAUUGUUGUUUCUUUUGUCCACUCAAAACAAUCCCCCAGUGGGUGGCUUGGCUGCGAAUCCGAUUCGCCCAAGUCUGUAAAAAAAAUCCUAACCGAGUGGUGAGCCAGUCUCCCACACGAAGGCUUAGCUGCGAAACCCGUUUCGCCUAAGAUAAAUAAAAUCCUGCCGAGUGGAAAGCCAGCCUUCCACUCGGAGGCUUAGCUGCAGUCCAAGUACUCGCCUAAGAUAAAUAAAAUCCUGCCGAGUGGAAAGCCAGCCUUCCACUGGGAGGCUUAGCUGCAGUCCAAGUACUCGCCUAAGAUAAAUAAAAUCCUGUCGAGUGGUAAGCCAGCCUUCCACUUGGAGGCUUAGCUGCAGUCCAAGUACUCGCCUAAGAUAAACAAAAUCCUACCGAGUGGUAAGCCAGCCUUCCACUCGGAGGCUUAACUGCAGCAUUGCGCUCGCCUAAGUACAAAUACAACAUGCGCUCUGCAAGGGGGGCGAGGUGCAGGUCGACUGCUACCCUCUCCUUUCGAGCUACGCCACAACUACAACGUGCGCCCUGCAAGGAGGACGAGGUGCAGGUCGACUGUUACCCUCUCCUUUCGAGCUACGUCACAAGUACAACAUGCGCUCUGCAAGGAGGACGAGGUGAGGGUCGACUACUACCCUCUCCUUCCGAGCUACGCCACCAAUACAAAAUCCUACCGAGUGGAGAGCAAACCUCCCGCUCGGGGGCUUAGCUGCAGCCCAGUGCUCGCCUAAGUUUUUGAAAAUCCUACCGAGUGGAGAGCAGACCUCCCACUCGGGGGCUUAGCUGCAGCCCAGUGCUCGCCUAAGUUUUUGAAAAUCCUACCGAGUGGAGAGCAAACCUCUCACUCGGGGGCUUAGCUGCAGCCCAGUGCUUGCCUAAGGUUUUGAAAAUCCUACCGAGUGGAGAGCAAACCUCUCACUCGAGGGCUUAGCUGCAGCCCAGUGCUCGCCUAAGUUUUUGAAAAUCCUACCGAGUGGAGAGCAAACCUCUCACUCGGGGGCUUAGCUGCAGCCAAGUGCUCGCCUAAGUUUUUUGAAAAUCCUACCGAGUCGAGAGCAAACCUCUCACUCGGGGGCUUAGCUGCAGCACAGUGCUCGCCUAAGUGUAUUGGGGAACAAGUCGAUUGCAAUGAGCGCUUCGCUUUAACCUGCAAAAGACGCCUCAAACCAGAUGCAAACAUAUUCAACAUCGAAUCCAAGUUCGGAUAACACCUAACGGAACCAAAAGUGCUCAGGCGCUAGGCCUGUUAAGGUUUGUCGGUUACAAAACUCACUCGGCAUACCGAGGCAAAUUUAAAGUAUCAAGCUCAGAAGUUUUUUACCCCUCCUGUGGAGGGCUGGAAGGUGCAACAAACUCGUCCAGAUCAAUUCCAUCUGCAAUCCGAGGGGCAGUAGCAAUGAAGGUCUCCAUGAAAGAUCUGAAAUCAUGCUUCUUGGUGUUAGCCACCCUAAGAGCCACCAGCUUGUCCUCUCGUGCAUCCUUGCAGUGAACGCAGACCAGAGACAGAGCAACAUCCGCACCACACCUGGCCGAAGACUUCUUCCACUCCUGCACUCAACUUGGAACCUCGUUCAGUCGAGUCAUCAGAGACUCGAGGUCGUUCUGGAGUUUCUCUCUUGGCCAGAGUGUUGUGUCGAUGCGAGAAGUUGCGACCUUCAGCCUUGCGAGAUAGUCGAUGACAGCGGCAACACGAGAUUCAAGCCGGAGCACGUUCAUGGCAACUUCAUCUUUCACAGGAGAGUUAAUGGGGUCCAGGUUUACUUCCAGUCGACCAGUCUCCACUUCAAAGUUCUGACAAAAUUCUGCAAGCACAACCACCGAGUCAAGACAAACAGUCGGAGGUUACAAUUAAAAUAUUUGUUUGAUACAAAGGAUUACCUUCAAGCAUGAGGAACAACUUCUUGGCGAGCCCACCCAGAUAAGCCUCUAGAUCGUUCUUCUUUCUCUUCAACUCACUGGCUUUGUCAUUCAGGGUGGUCUUGUCACUUUUCAGUCGACUGACCUCCUGGUUGGCAGCAUCAAGAGCAGCUUUCAGAUUGGUGUUUUCUUCUUCAAGCUUGGUCACUGAAGCCAGCUUCUCAUCCGCAAGCCUGGUCUUCUCUAAAGCAGUUUUUUGCAUCUCAGCCAAGUCAAGCUCUUGCUUCUUCAGGGCAUCCCUCACUUUGUCUGCAAAGUUACAUUGAGAUUUGAUUCGGAAACAUGUGAGAGGCAAAGGCAGUCGUUAAAGGCCUCACCAAGCAUACCUUUAGCUUCCUCCUUCACCUUCGUCAAGUUUUCUUGGGCCAGUUUCAGAUCGAGCUCGAGCUGAAUGUGUUUGUUCUCCAACUCAGUAUAACGAGCCGCAAGGUCACAGGAUUUCUACGAAGAACCAAUCGACAGAUGUCAAAGACAAUUCACUUCUGAGUGAGUAAGGAAAAAUCAUAGCGUUUCUAAGACUACGGCCGAAUGCAAACAUUCGACCACAGUCUCGGGGACUACACCCAGUGGGUGCACUCAGCGUGCCCCCACUAGUUUCAUCAGUUAGAGUCGACCAGUCGACCAACAACACACAAAAAAAACGGGAGAUGUUCUUCAGACUAUAGUCAACUGCCCGCAGUCGACCACAGUCUCGGGGACUACACCCAGUGGGUGCACUCAGCGUGCCCCCACCGGUCUAUGAAUCUAUUCGACCUAGUCGAGUAAGGAAAAAACUUAAGACAUAAAGCCUAUGGUCGACUGCCAGUAGUCGACCAUAGCCUUGGGGACUACAACCAGUGGGUGCACUCAGCGUGCCCCCACUAAUCCGGAAUUUCAAUCGACGCACCCAGUGGGUGUAGGACAAACUCUAAGAAUUUCAGAAGGAAGAGUUUGCAGAUAUCAUAUCCUAACAGAACAGGCAGUGACCGACUGACCUGAACAUUACUCUGAAGAGCCGAACUGUUGGAAAUAUGCCCUAGAGGCAAUAAUAAAAGGGUUAUUAUUAUAUUUCCUUAUUCAUGGUAAUUGUCUUUUAUUCAUGCUAUAACUGUAUUGUCCGGAAAUCGUAAUACACGUGUGAAUACAUAGACCAUAACAUGUCCCUAGUGAGCCUCUAGUUGACUAGCUCAUUGGUCAACAGAUAGUCAUGGUUUCCUGACUAUGGACAUUAGAUGUCAUUGACAACGGGAUCACAUCAUUAGGAGAAUGAUGUGAUGGACAAGACCCAAUCCUAAUCAUAGCACAAGAUCGUGUAGUUCGUUUUGCUAGAGCUUUUUCAAUGUCAAGUAUCUCUUCCUUAGACCAUGAGAUCGUGUAACUCCCGGACACCGUAAGAGUGCUUUGGGUGUACCAAACGUCACAACGUAACUGGGUGACUAUAAAGGUGCACUACAGGUAUCUCCGAAAGUGUCUGUUGGGUUGACACGGAUCGAGACUGGGAUUUGUCACUCCGUAUGACGGAGAGGUAUCUCUGGGCCCACUCGGUAAUGCAUCAUCAUAAUGAGCUCAAAGUGACCAAGUGUUUGGUCACGGGAUCAUGCAUUACGGUACGAGUAAAGUGACUUGCCGGUAACGAGACUGAACGAGGUAUUGGGAUACCGACGAUCGAGUCUCGGGCAAGUAACGUACCGAUUGACAAAGGGAAUUGUAUACGGGGUUGUUCGAAUCCUCGACAUCGUGGUUCAUCCGAUGAGAUCAUCGAGGAGCAUGUGGGAACCAACAUGGGUAUCCAGACCCCGCUGUUGGUUAUUGCCCGAGAGCCGUCUCGGUCAUGUCUACGUGUCUCCCGAACCCGUAGGGUCUACACACUUAAGGUUCGGUAACGCUAGGGUUGUAUGAAUAUGAGUAUGCAGCAUACCGAAUGUUGUUCGGUGUCCCGGAUGAGAUCUCGAACGUCACGAGGAGUUCCGGAAUGUUCCGGAGGUAAAGAAAACUAUAUAGGAAGUGGUAUUUCGGCCAUCGGGAAAGUUUCGGGGUCACCCGGUGUUGUACCGGGACCACCAGAAGGGUCCCGGGGGUCCACCGGGUGGGGCCACCCAUCCCGGAGGGCCCCAAGGGCCGAAGUGGAGAGGGGAACCAGCCCUUAGUGGGCUGGUGCGCCCCCCUAGGCCCACUCCCUGCGCCUAGGGUUGAAACCCUAGUGUGGGGGGGGCGCCCCACUUGCCUUGGGGGGUACUCCACCCCCUUGGCCGCCGCCCCUUGGGAGAUUGGAUCUCCCAGGGCCGGCGCCCCCCCUGGGGGCCUAUAUAAAGGGAGGGGGGAAGGGGGCAGCCGCACCCUGAAGUCCUGGCGCCCCCUCCCCCUGCUACACCUCUUCCUCCUCCGUCUGGCGAAGCCCUGCCGGAGUGCCGCUGUUCCACCACCACCACGCCGUUGUGCUGCUGCUGGAGCCAUCAUCAUCAACCUCUCCUUCCCCUUGCUGGAUCAAGACGGAGGAGACGUUACGCGGACCGUACGUUUGUUGAACACGGAGGUGCCGUCCGUUCGGCGCUAGGAUCUCCGGUGAUAGGAUCACGACGAGAACGACUACUUCAACCCCGUUCUUUUGAACGCUUCCGCGCGAUCUACAAAGUGGUAUGUAGAUGCAAUCUUUCUCCCAUGACUCGUUGCUUAGAUGAACUCAUAGAUGGAUCUUGGUGAAACCGUAGGAAAAAUUUUAAUUUUCUGCAACGUUCCCCAACACGAACUGGCGUCAUAGGCGGCCUGGCUGGCUUCUCGUAUUGCCUUCACUUGCUCCAUCAUGACCCCCGCUUGACGGAUUGCUUCUUUAGCAGCACUAGCUUGGUCUUCAGGAACAGAAUAGGUUGAGAAAAGCGAGGGUUGAGCAGCAGUCGACGACGAAGAACGAGCACUCGUCAACGGCACCGCAAAGGUUACGGUAGGCCGAGUGACAUUGUCUCCCUCCACGACCAACGUCUCGGGUGCUGGCACGUCCUGAGUCGCCUUGCCAGCAGACGCCUUUUUGCUCCUCCUCUGCCUUGGUGGUUCCUGGUCAUCGUCGUCGGGAAGAUCGAUAACGAUGUUAGAUGAAGCUGCAGAAAGAAUCAAAAUUAGAGAUAAUAAGUCAGUCGACUGAAAACGGCAUCAUAAGAGUCAUACCAGGUUUUGAGGUAGCAGCAUCCUCCAUCUCGUGGUCUUCAGCCCUGGCCAAAGUAUCGGAAGUAGCAGCGCUGCAGUUCCAAAAGUCAGUCGAUUGGCCCAUGAGUCGACCAAGAACAAGUUCAUGAAACGGGGAAAACUCAAGACUACCAUUACCCUGAGAUAGUGGGGAUCACCAUCUUCAUCUUCGGCAAGACCUUCGCAGGUUUCGAUGGUGCCACUCGAGAUUGCUUCGGAGCCUUCUCAGUCGGCGCCGGAGAAGUAGUCCGAGGGCGCUUGGUCGACUGGGUAGCGGUCGCGACCCCCUUACCACGCUCAGUCGCGGGAUCAUGGACAAGCUUCGAGCGUCUUUCCGAGCGGGGAGGUACAACUUCUUCCUCCCCCUCCUCUUCUUCCUCCUCACCAGAGUCAUCGCCCUCGUCAUCGUCGUCAGCAUCCGAAUCCCACUCCUCCGGGCUUUCGCCCCCGCUUCCUUCCUCCUCCUCAGUCGGCGUCUGCGCUCCAUUGGGCAUCGAGUAUAACUCAGUGGUGGCCUGUCAGACAACAAAGCAAAACAAAGAUCAAUCGACCAAUUCGCGGCAAAGCAGAAUGGAUAAAGCAAGAUUACAAUCGGAGAUAAGUGGCCAUACCGUGUUCGGCGUAUAAGUACAGUCGAGUGGCGGGAUCCUCCUAGCCCCUCGAGGGUUGUCCUUGUUCCCUGUGAUGGCGGCCACCCACCUCUCCAGCGUGGCGUCGUCGACCGCUUCUGGAUGGAGCCGAGUGGUGUCUUCGGUACCGCAGUACAGCCACAUCGGGUGGCCUCGGUACUGAAGCGGUUGGAUGCGCCGCCUAAGGAAGACUUCCAGAAGAUCCAUGCCCGUCACUCCGUCCCGAACGAGUUGGACCACGCGCUCCAUCAGCAUUUUUACCUCGGCUUUCUCCUCAGGAAGCACCUUCAGAGAAGACGGUUUGUCCACUCGGUCCAUGGAGAACGGAGGGAGACCAGUCGACUGCCCCGGCGUCGACUCGUCUUGGCAGUAGAACCAAGUCGACUGCCACCCUCUGACCGACUCAGGAAGGGUCAUGGCCGGGAAAGUGCUCUUAUUCCUCAACUGAAUCCCAAGACCCCCGCACAUCUGGAUAACCUUGGUCCUCUCAUCGUCCGGACUCGCCUUUUUCACUGUCUAUGAGCGACAGGUGAAUAUGUGCUUGAAGAGACCCUAGUGUGGUCAACAACCCAGGAAGUUCUCGCACAUGGACACAAAGGCAGCAAGAUAGGCGAUGGAAUUGGGAUUGAAAUGGUGGAGUUGCGCCCCAAAAAAAUUCAGAAACCCUCGGAAGAAAACACUCGGCGGCAGAGAAAAACCACGGUCUACAUGAGUGGCUAAGAGAACGCACUCACCCUCCUGCGGCUGCGGCUGACACUCGGUCCCCGGAAGCCUUGCUGACCCGUGGGGGAUCAGUCCCUCAUUGGCCAGGUCAUUGAGAUCUUUCUCAGUGAUGGUCGAGCAGAUCCGAUCCCCUUGGACCCAACCCUUUGGCAGGCGGGACCUUGACGAUGAUCCGCCCCGACUGGACGGUCUCCCCUUCGCUUUCCCCGUCGCCGUCGACUUCUUCGCGCGCUCUAGGGCCGCCGUCUUCUCCUUCACCAUUGUCGCCGGCGAAGCGCGCGAGGAGCGGAUAGGCGGAGGCGAGAGCAGGCGCAGUGGGCGGAGGCAAAGAGGGAGGAGAGAAUAAUGGGAAGGCACUGUUCAAAAAAUCCUCCCCCGGCGCUUUAUAUAAGGACGCUUCCGAGUGGCUGACGAGUGGGUCCGGGCGAUCCUGUCACAUCCCGAAACAGUCGCGCACGCACGAUACGUGGCGAAAAAGGCGGCGCAGAAAUCGAGGCGUCCACGUCUUAUCCCAUCCGAUUGCCGCGGUCCGCCCCGCUUCGCGCGCUUCCCAAAUUUCGGAUCCCGCAGAAUCCGCUAAACAGCAGAUCAAUCUGUCAGACGAUAUCUUUCCUGCGAUCCGUCGCUCGGAAGUUCACCAAAGUUCAAAAAGUUCACUCGACAGAAGACAAGAAUGGAUCAAGACGACUGAAGUAAAAGUUGACGCCAACGCCGAAAGAAAAAUCGCCGAUCCAAGAUACGACAUAAUCAAAGCACAGGAAAUGAGUCGGAGAAAAUCAUCAACUCCUUCCUCACUCGAACCUCGAUCCAUUCGGGGGCUAAUGAUGAUGUUAUGUACCUAGGGUAGGGUCAUGGACCUAUCUAGGAUACCAUACCCAAGGACAUCCUUAGACGAAGCUACCUUCCAGUCGACCAAGAGAGACUCCACUCGACCGGCUAGAAGUCACUCGACGAACCUAAAGACACUCGACCAUGAAGACUCACUCGACCAUCAGGAGUUCAGGAUCUACUCUGUAUCCAAACGAUCUGUAAUUAAGUAGUCUUAAUGGUCAUGAUGACACUUUAUGUAGGGUGUUACUAGUAAAGCCCGGCCUUAAUGUACUUUAAUCCUCUGCUACGUGGGUUGGCUGGGGUCCUGGCGUCCUCUAUAUAAGCCACCCCCCUCCACUGGUAGAAGGGUUCGCACCCCUGUAACUCAUAUACACAUAAACCAAUCGACCGCCUCCGGGCUCCGAGACGUAGGGCUAUUACUUCCUCAGAGAAGGGCCUGAACUCGUUAAACACUCGUGUGUACAACUACUCCAUAGCUAGGAUCUUGCCUCUCCAUACCUACCCCCCAUUCUACUGUCAGACUUAGAACCACGACAUGACCUGGCCGGAUAUAUGACCCGGUCGGACUUGAUGUUUCAUCAGUAGCCGCCAGAGGAUUGGCGACUCACGUGUCCGGCGGCUCACUGGUGUGACGACUCACGAGCCUGAAGACUCAUGGGUGACCCGACGGGUGCUUAAGACGGACGACAAGGCCCAAGGCCCAAUAUGCCGGUUCAUAUAAAGGUGGGCCGGCUUAAGAGGAAAGGGAUGACGAAUAUUUCCUUUACGAGGAAGCAAGACCCGGACUUGUAGUCAACUUGUAAGAAAAGAUAGACUAGUCCUAGUCCUACUAGGACUCCACAUGUAACCCGCCCCUCUAACUUAUAUAAGGAGGGGCAGGGCUCCCCAAAGAGCGAGAGGAAACAAGAAAAAACAAUCUCUAGGGCUAGACACAAUGAGCCGGCUUACCGGCGACUCCCUCAUGAGCAUAAUGAGACCUAGCCACAAACAGCAUGUAGGGUUAUUACCGGAUGAUGUUUCCCGGGGUCCGAAGCUGUCUAAAUCCUUGUCUUGCGUGUUGAUCCGCCCUGCGUCUCGUCCUGCUCAACCCCACUCAAGCUACCACAUAGAUGCGUUGGCCUCGCGACUAAGUCCUGGCACUAAGGACAUCUGACGUGACAAUUCCACGACAGUUGGCGCCCACCGUGGGGCUCGCGCACGGUGGUGUUGAGUUCUUGGAGGGAUUUAUCCCAAGGAUUAAGAAGCUCGCAAAUUGGCUGGAUCAGGAAGAGCCAAGGUCAGAUCUAUACCGACCCCGUGUUCAUCAGUCCAACCCUAAUUGCCGCGGACGGCCGCGCGUCUGGAAGCAGCCUGUAGUUCUACUGCUCAGUCACCCGGAGAAGGUCAUGUGGAAUCUGUGCAUCAGUCAAAUCCCUUGUACAGUACAAGCACUGGGUGAAUUCUUGGUAUGUUGGAUUUAUUUACUAGAUGGACGGACGAUACAAAAAAAACAUCAUCGGAUCGUCUCUAAAGACGAUUCAUGUGAAGGGACAGCAGCGGCGUCCUCCGUUGCACGUAAACCGCGCUGGGUCAACUCCACGAGACAGAACUAGCAAGGACCCACACAGGCCCGGUCUCGGUUCCCAAGAGCAAGCUUUGUGUGUACAUCACGGAUUCUCAAGGGAUUUGCCUUUUUUACUCAAGAGUGCGUGCACAACAAGACAAGCCACUACCAUCGUUGCUAAUCUGACGCUACUUCAAAGAAGAAAAAGAAGAGAAUUGGCGAAACGAUGCGGUUAGACCACCACCGCAGUCUCGUAAUCUGCCGCUUCAGAUUGUUUUAUCUGCAGCCGUAACCCGUCGAAACCGACAAUCAAUCUCUGCUGUUGCGUUGCCCUACAAAGGCGUACAUUAUCUAUCAAGUCACUGGGUCACGGAUCAUCUGCUAGGCUUAUUCACCUGCGUGUGGUUGUGUACACGCGUAAUUCCAGAGGAAUCCGACUAGAUGGAGUACUACUCCCUGGCGUAAAGACCAAGGCCUGCAAAUCAAGUUGCACUUUUUUACACGGAGAGGAAAACCUCAUAAGGACAGGACGCAGGUUCAAAUCCAGUCAUUAUUUAAAGGUACCCGCCGUCGCCGAAGUACUUUUUGCCAGCUGCCUGCCACGCCGUUGGUUGCCUCGAUGUGUGUGGGUAUCUGAUACCCAUAUGAAGAUGGACAAAAAUCACCAGAUGGUUGAAAAAAAAACGGAGGAAGUACUAGUAUGCUAGCCUAUAUUUUGACUACGGAGUCAUUUGACCAGUCUAUACGGACAUCUCCCGUCCAAAUACAUCAGGUUAUAUUCAUCCAGUCCAUUUGAUCAGUACAUAUUAAAUUAUUUGAGAACAAUUAUUUUGGUCUGUGGUAUUCUUCCGCAGGACCAUUAUUCAUUACAAAAGCCUACUCGCCCGCAUCCAUGCUGUUUCCAACACUGCGGCCGACUCUCUCGUCCGCGCCGGCUUACAAACGCCGUGGCCAUCUCUCGCGACCGCGCCGGCUUACAACGUCGUGGCCGUCUCUCGCGACCGCGCCGGCUUGCAAUGCCGUGGCCGUCUCUCGCGACCGCGCCGGCUUGCAACGUCGUGGCCGUCUCUCGCGACCGCGCCGGCUUGCAACGCCGUGGCCGUCUCUCGCGAUCGCGCCGGCUUGCAACGCCGUGGCCGUCUCUCGCGACCACGCCGGCUUACAACAAGGAAGACGACUCGCCCGUCCGCACCGGCUUACAAACGCUGCGGCUGAUUCAUCUGUCUGUUCCCGCGGCCGACUCACCUGUGAGUGAUUUCAACUUAACCUAGUGAUCAUCAACUUCAUGGCGGAUUAUUUCUGGCCUGACACAUCAGGUGAUAUCCAUUUUAUAUAUAUUUUAUUGGCACAUAUUAUUUUUUGUCAAAGAUCAGUUUAUCUUUGCCUUGGUCUGCAAUAUUGUUGAUGCAGGACAAUUGUUCACUACAUCAAAACGACGUGGUUGACUCGCCUGCGCCGGUUUACAGCACCGCGGCCGAUUCAUCCGUCUGAGCUGCCUCUGAUGCGGCAGUCGUCUUUACCGCCCGUCUCUCAUGGUCUGGUCUACAUCAACACAUUGGGCCGCACCUGUCUACAUGAGUUGUUUAUUGAGUAUGAGCAAGUCACUACUUGGGAAGCCCGAUUUUCUUCCAACAAAUUGGAGGCAACUUAUCAUGUAUUAUCAGCCGCCGUCUACACUGGAUGGUUCAAUGGGCAGGCGCACAAGUCGCCGCCACUACAGUUUGGUUAACUUCAAACAGCCAGUUGGAAGGAACCAUUGGCCGAGUUACUGACACGGCUCAUACAGGAUCAUUUAUAACCCGCCGCAGUCACCUCAACCUUCUAUGGACUCACAUCGCACUAUCAACGCCAAUGAUGUACACCUUCUGCUAUGGUCAAAUAUGGAGAAUCCCAAGCCAACUCCUCGAGUCGUCUUGAGACUCGGGGGCUACAAUGGUAUGACUCGGCAAAAUUAGCCGGUUUCAAUAAAUUCAAGAGCUCCGGGUCAUUGAAGGGAAAAAUAACUCGGCCCCAGAGAUUACUGCUAGAUCGAUGAAAAUUUAAAAGCCAUUAGAAGAUUUCCGGUUCAAAAUAAGGAUUUUGGUUUAAAAUCCGGUUCAAGGGACAUUUUUCUCCCACAAAGCACCGAAGCUCUCAAAUCCGGUUCAAAAUCCGGCCCAAGCUCUCAAAUCCGGUUCAAAAUCCGGCUCAAGGUAAAUUUGUCCCUCACAAAUUUUUUAAAGCUUUCAAAUCCGGUUUAAAGUUCCAGUUCAAAAAGCAUUAAUCUCUCGCAAGUUCGAGUUCUCAGAAAAGUUAAAGGUUGCCAAAAGAACUUGUUGCCAUGAUGCGCGGUUCAAACUUGGGUAUCCUGCCUUACGGCUUAUCUUAUUAUGAGCACUUGGGGGCUUCCUGCUCAUCGAGCAUAGCUAUCAGUACCCUCUUGAUCGGCGCAAUGCCAAAACUUAUAUGAUCACUUGGGGGCUUCCUGUUCAAACAUAGGUCGUAUUCGAACCAAAGAGAACAUAGCUGUCGAUACCCUCUUGAUCGGCAUACUGCCAAACCCACUAGGGGGCUUCUUGAUCAUAUCUGAAUCAUAGCUUAGCCCCUUUGGGUCUGACGUGGGUCGUAUUCGAACCAGCGUCAUUAAACAACUCUUAUGGUCACUUGGGGGCUUCCUGUUCAAACAUAGGUCGUAUUUGAACCAAAGAGAACAUAGCUAUCGAUACCCACUUGAUCGGCAUCGCCAAAGCCACUGGGGGCUAUAUGAUCGUAUUCGAAUCUUAGCUUAACCCCUUUGGAACGGUUUACUGAUCGUAUCCGAAUCAGAAGCCUCAAAAAGUUUAAUUCUAUCUCUGGUAAAGUUUAUUGCAGCCACAAUUACUUAACUUGAGACCUUUUGAGGAUUAUAUCUUAAAUGUAUAUAAGUGUUUUAUGAUUAACCCGGCUUGGCUUUUGACUAUAAGUCGCCAGCUUAUGACAAUCAUCAUCUAUGUGGAAGCAUUGGCUUCAAAAGAUUGGGUUAUCACCCUUACUGCACAGGUCACACUAGUAGAAAAGGGGGCAAUGGUCCAGGCCAGGUCAGCCCAUUAGUCCCGGUUCAACCCAGAACCGGGACCAAUGGGGGCAUUGGACCCGGUUCGUGAGCCCCGGGGGCCGGCCGGGCCAUGUGGGCCAUUGGUCCCGGUUCGUCUGGACCUUUUGGUCCCGGUUGGUUGGACGAACCGGGACCAAUGCGCCUCGCUCCUGGCCCACCACCAUUGGUCCCGGUUGGUGGGACGAACCGGGACCAAAGGCGUGGUCCUCGUUGCGGCCAGAGUUUAGUCUCACCUCGCCAACCGAAGGGGGCUCACACCGGUUUAUAAACCCCUCCCUCUCAGCCUUGUUGAACUGCUCUCAAAGUGAAAAUAGAUGCCCUUAUACAGGAAAUUUGACCUAAAUUCAUAUUGAAUUUCUCUGAAGUUAGUAGAAAUUUAUUAUGAAUUUAGGUCUAAUUUUCUCUAUAAGCGCAUCUAUGCUCAUUUCUGAGUAGUUUUUUAUAUAGUUUUUUUCUGCUAUAUUUAUUUUUUUCUAUUUAUUUCUGAGUUGUAAUAAGUUAUUAAAAAUAAAAAAGAUUUUAGUAAAGUUAAUCACAACUAUUUUUUCUUCUAAUUAUUUCUGAGUAGUUUUUUAUAUAGUUUUUUUUCUUUUCUGCUAUAUUUAUUUUUUUCUAUUUAUUUUUGUGUGGUAAUAAGUCAUUAAAAAUAAAAAAGAGGCGCAAUGCUAGUUAAUUCGCUUCAAGCCUUUCGGAAUAGUGUAAACUGCACUGCACAUAGCUCCAUGCAGUCUACCCUAUUUAUCAAGGCUUGAAGCGAACCAACGUGCAGGUGAGCAUUGAGCUUGUUCUUCAUCGUCUCUCCACUCAGGGCUUAUAAACAGCUGCGAGUGCCUCUCGCUUGGCGAGGUGGGACUAAAAAGGGGCAAUGGUCCAGGCCGGCCGGGUCAGCCCAUUAGUCCCGGUUCAAUCCAGAACCGGGACCAAUGGGGGCAUUGGACCCGGUUCGUGAGCCCCGGGGGGCGGCCGGGCCACGUGGGCCAUUGGUCCCGGUUCGUCUGGACCUUUUGGUCCCGGUUGGUGGGACGAACCGGGACCAAUGGGCCUUGGUCCUGGCCGACCACCAUUGGCCCCGGUUGGUGGGACGAACCGUGACCAAAGGCAGCCCAUUAUGGUUCGGCCCUCGUGAUACCAUGCCAACUUUCAACUUUCAACUUUUUUAGAGUUCAUUUGAAAUGCUUUAAUGCAGAAAACAAAAGAAAAUAAAUAAUACAGAAAACAAAAGAAAAAAACUGGAAAAAAAUAAAAUAAAUAAAGAAAAAAGAAAACAAAAAAAGUGUAUUCAAAUUUGAAAACUAAUGGCACUAACAGAAAGUUUAUAAUUUUUCUAAAACUAAAAGCAAAAAGAAUUAAAAGGUAAAGCAAAAAAACAAAAGAAAAUAAAUAAUGCAGAAAACAAAACAAAANNNNNNNNNNNNNNNNNNNNNNNNNNNNNNNNNNNNNNNNNNNNNNNNNNNNNNNNNNNNNNNNNNNNNNNNNNNNNNNNNNNNNNNNNNNNNNNNNNNNNNNNNNNNNNNNNNNNNNNNNNNNNNNNNNNNNNNNNNNNNNNNNNNNNNNNNNNNNNNNNNNNNNNNNNNNNNNNNNNNNNNNNNNNNNNNCAAAAAAUAUGGGGAAAAAAUAGCAACAAUAAGUAUUUUGUUGUAAGUAGAAACAAAAUAAAAUAAAUAAAGCACGAAACAAAACAAAAAAACAAAAAAAAGUGUUUUCAAAUUUGAGAACUAAUGGCACUAACAGAAAUUUAAAAUUGUUCUAAAACUAAAAGCAAAAAGAAUUAAAAAAUAAAGCAAAAAAACAAAAGAAAAUAAAUAAUGCAGAAAACAAAACAAAAAAUCUGGGAAAAAAAUAAAAAUAGCAACAAUAAGUAAAGGAAAAAAGUGCAACCUACGGGCACCCACGGCUUGAAUACGACUAGAAACCCACCAUGGGCCAGGAUUCAGGCCCGCAGGUGGCCCAGUAGGCCCAACAGGCAACGCGGUAGUAAGUAGGCCCGUAAGCUUGCAGUGGAGAGGAGCUCGAGAGGGGUGCGGCAGUGGGGCUUAUAAACCACUGCGCGCCCCUCUCAGCUAGCGAGGUGGGACUAAACUUUUGUGCCGCACCGUGCCAGCACACGACCAUUGGUCCCGGUUCGUGGCUCCAAUCGGGACCAAUGCCCACCCUUUAGUCCCGGUUGGUGGCACCAACCGGGACCAAAGCCCUCUGCUUCCCGCCCUUUGGGCUGCUGAAAAGAGGCCUUUGGUCCCGGUUGGUGGUACCAACCGGGACCAAAGGGGGUCANNNNNNNNNNNNNNNNNNNNNNNNNNNNNNNNNNNNNNNNNNNNNNNNNNNNNNNNNNNNNNNNNNNNNNNNNNNNNNNNNNNNNNNNNNNNNNNNNNNNNNNNNNNNNNNNNNNNNNNNNNNNNNNNNNNNNNNNNNNNNNNNNNNNNNNNNNNNNNNNNNNNNNNNNNNNNNNNNNNNNNNNNNNNNNNNNNNNNNNNNNNNNNNNNNNNNNNNNNNNNNNNNNNNNNNNNNNNNNNNNNNNNNNNNNNNNNNNNNNNNNNNNNNNNNNNNNNNNNNNNNNNNNNNNNNNNNNNNNNNNNNNNNNNNNNNNNNNNNNNNNNNNNNNNNNNNNNNNNNNNNNNNNNNNNNNNNNNNNNNNNNNNNNNNNNNNNNNNNNNNNNNNNNNNNNNNNNNNNNNNNNNNNNNNNNNNNNNNNNNNNNNNNNNNNNNNNNNNNNNNNNNNNNNNNNNNNNNNNNNNNNNNNNNNNNNNNNNNNNNNNNNNNNNNNNNNNNNNNNNNNNNNNNNNNNNNNNNNNNNNNNNNNNNNNNNNNNNNNNNNNNNNNNNNNNNNNNNNNNNNNNNNNNNNNNNNNNNNNNNNNNNNNNNNNNNNNNNNNNNNNNNNNNNNNNNNNNNNNNNNNNNNNNNNNNNNNNNNNNNNNNNNNNNNNNNNNNNNNNNNNNNNNNNNNNNNNNNNNNNNNNNNNNNNNNNNNNNNNNNNNNNNNNNNNNNNNNNNNNNNNNNNNNNNNNNNNNNNNNNNNNNNNNNNNNNNNNNNNNNNNNNNNNNNNNNNNNNNNNNNNNNNNNNNNNNNNNNNNNNNUGAUUUUUGUUAGAUUUUUUUAGAUUUUUUUGUAGUUCAUAGAUUUUUUUUGUUGGAUGUGUAGUAAUUUAGAUGUGUAGUUCAUAGAUUUUCUGUUCAUAGAAUCUUUAUGAUUUUUUUUCUGUUGUAAUUUUGUUUAUAGAAUUUUAAUGAUUUUUUUGUUCAUAGUACGUAUUUAGAAAAAUGAAAAAAAUAAGAAGAGAAAGUGUUUAAUAUAUAGUUAGAAAAAUUCUAGUUUAUUUUUAGUAAUUCUACUUUAUUUUAUUUAUAGUAAGUGCUUCAUAUAUACUUGAACUAGCUAGUUGAUUUAAUAAACUACUUUAUUUUACUAUAUAUAGAAGUAGUUUGUUUUUAGUAAGUACUACUUUAUUUAUUUAUAGUAAGUGUUUAGUAGUUGAACUAUCUAGUUGAUUUAAUUAAUAAAACUACUUUAUUUAACUAUAUAUAGAAGUAGUUCCCGCAUCGACGUCGGUGAUGCCUAUCCCGCAUCCUCGUCGUCGUCGACUUGGCGGUGGAGGCUUGCUAGAUCAGGGCCAUGUUCGGGACUGGGCUUCGCCGGGCUGGUAUUGGGAGGUGCUACCUUACGGGGGAUGUAGGUUGGUGAGGAGGCAGCCCAUUGUUGACCCGAUCCUUGUUUGGUGGCGGUCGCGUGGUCCAGUGAUGGUGUCGAGGCUUCUGGACAACGCGGAGGUGGUACGUCACCGUGUCAGCGAGGAGGAUGAGCACGUCCGUCGCUACAUGGUUGCAUUGGAGGGCAGGUUCGAAAAAUACCUGGCAGGUUCUCCAGGUAUCUCACUGGAGCUAUGAUCCUGUGAUGGUUCCUUAUCUUUGGGUGUCCACCGCCCGCGUCGAUACCCGUCGGGCGCUACGGUUCUAGUUGUAUUAGUGAUGCUAUAUUAGUGAUAAUAUUCAACGAUGUACGGACACCAAGAGAUGAUGUACUUUUGCUUAUAAUUAUUGAAUGCAUGCUAAUUUGAAUACUACUUUAUUUUAUGAUUUGGUUUUGCUUAUUUUAUGAUUUGAUUUUGCUUACUGAAUGCUCAUAUUGGAUAAGUUCUCCUUCAUUCCCGUGUGCUAGACAAUUUGAUGUAAUAUGCACUCGGGAAUGAAAGGAGGAGCUACGUACAUCACCGAUAGUCAAUCCGUGAUUAAUAAUCUAGUUUAAUAUUUGAAUUAUGAAAAUAGGCCGGAAAUGUCGUACUCGGACGAUGAAAACCGCUCGGGGGAGUGCGACUGGUGCCAUGACGACCGAGGUAUCUGCGACAGGUUCAUUGAGCUGGACGAAGAUCGUCGCUUCAGCAUUAAGCUCGAGGAGACCUUCGAUGUUCAUACGGUACGCAACCAAUGAUUAGGUAUCUGCAAUAUUUUUUUGUAAUUACUCAUGACUUCAACUAUUUUAAUCAUGACAAUAUUUUUCAUCUUUUCCAAUUCGACUAGCUUAUCCCAUGCUUUGCAAGACGCUAUGUCUUGGAGAGGAUGGGUUUUGAAGACCAUGAAAGUUUCGAAACCAAAAAAAUUAUCCUAAGUACCCAUCAUGGUGUGGAUUUUCAAGUAAAGUUGUACAAUGCUCAGAGUGUAACCCAUUUUGGUUGCAAAAAUUGGGAAGCACUUUGCAAGAUGUAUGGUUUUGAUGAGGGUAUGCUUGUUACCAUGGAUCUUGGUGAUCCUACAAUCGAGCAAGAGAGACCUACGAUUUUCGUCCUUAUGGAUACACCUCCAAUUCUUCCCCCAUGUGAGCUUAACAUAGUUAUUAAGUAAUUUAUAUUGUUUAUUUCAAAAUAGUUGACAACUUAUUCUCCACUGACAGCUUAUUUUCAUUCUUCAAAGAAUGUGCGGAAGAUGGUAGACAGAACCUACUACACCGAAGGCUUCGAACUAACUUAUCAGGAGAAAAAUCAUCUGGUCACAUUUUGUACUGAUCUUGAGAAUUACAAUGUCUACAAUCGAACUCCUCAACAUUAUGGUCAAUACGUGCCACUAGUGCACGUGUUGAACUACGGUAACUACCAUGGAGAUACCCUGGUAAGAUUUUUUACUAUUACGACAUCCCUGCAUCUUUUUGCACACUUCUAAAACUAGUACAUCAUAUCAUUGCUAACUACGAAGUUAUUACUAUGUUUUUCAACAGAUAAUCCCGAAUGAUUGUGUGCCUCAUCUGAUGUAUACGCACGGUAGCCUUCAUGUUUUGAACAUACAACCAGGUCUUCCUACGAAUCUGAACUGUCCAUACCGGGUUUCUAAAAGAAGUGGAGACAUGACAAUCAAAGAAUGGAAAAAAUGUAUGGACAGUCGUAAGGAGCUUCUUGGAAGCAACAUUCAGCGAAGGGCAAAAAUUGGAGACAGGAUGAUCGCCAUUCUUCAUAAUGGAGAGUCAGGGUCUAUAUUGUUUUAUGCUAUUUUACCUUAAGGGUGUUUAGGUCCUACCUGAUACUGAUGAUCAUGUGUUAAGAACAAUUAUGUAGGGUCGGGUUCGAUGACUAUGAGGAUGAUGAUCGUAUGACUUAUUAUUAAUAACGAGUAGAAGUUGUAUGAUGACGCAUGAUUAGUAGGACGAGUACUUGUUAUUAUAUAUGCUGAUGUAUGCGAGCAUGCAUGAGUUAUUAUAUCAGCGGGUAAAAUGAACAUAUAUAGCAGCAGCGUUGGUAAACCAAGGACGAAGAUAUAAGAGAGGACACUUCUCUUUAUUAGCUAGCUAAUAUAACAACCUAAAAAUAACCCCCAAAACCUCUAAAGCAGCCACUUUCCAAAAAAACAUGGACUUUUGGUCCCGGUUGGUGCCACCAACCGGGACCAAAGGCCCCCUGACUGGGCUCGACGCACAGAGCCACGUGGAGGCACAUUAGUCCCGGUUCUUGUUUGAACCGGGACUAAUGGGUGGAGGUAUUAGUAACGGCCCAUUAGUCCCGGUUCAUGAACCGGGACUAAAGGCCCUCACGAACCGGGACUAUUAGGUGUUUUUCUACUAGUGUCAUGUGAACCGGCAGUACAAAUUCAAUAUCACAGUGGUUAUAUGUGAGAUAUUAUGACCCAUCCUGGCUUUGAUGCUAAGUCACCAGGGCAUAUGUUGUUUAAACUCUUUGCAGGAUUUGCAUAAAUAUGACAUAUAAAUGAUUAAGUUCAAGCUCAUUACCAAAGUUGAUGCUUCAAAAUGAUUAUCCGUUCUGGAUUUUUCUCAAAAGCUAUAAGCCGCCGGGUUAUAAAAAUUCCGGCUUACAAUGGAGGCGUAUUAAAUCGCCAUCGACCAAGAGCCGCCAGGUAUUUAAACUCCGGAUUUACUUGUCAACUGAUGAGGUAUUCAAAUCUUUCAUAGCCAAAACUGGCUGGAUCUUCAUGAUGAUAUUGAAUGAUUGAGGUUUUCAUACCAUAUUAUAUUAUUCAAAUCUUGAAUAGCCAACAUGGCUGGAUUUCUAUUGUGAUUGUCAAUAACCAAUGUUAUGAUUGAGGUUUUCAAAGUCGCUUUAAGCACAACGGCUAUUAUUUUUAUCAAUGGAUAUGAUUUAUUUUAUAAUGGAAGGAAUAGUCCCGAGUCGCUGCAGGCUUACGACCCGGCACUUGGGGGCUACAUUAUUUAGAUUGGGAUUAUAUCAAAUAUGCAAGUCCCAUGUCACUGCCAGCAUGCACCAUGGCAUUUGGGGCUAAUGCAAAGUCAUUUUUUGCUCAACUUAUUGAAGACCCGACUCAUCACAUUCUAAAUGAGUUGGCCCUUGGGGGCUACCAAUUGCUCCUGUCAAAAAUUCAAGGUACACAAACAUUACUCCAUUAUAUUGAAAGGUCCACUAUUUAGUUGGUGGAGUACAAAGCUCUUAACCUUGUGGACAUGGGUUCAAGCCCCAUGGUGGAGACUAUAUUAUAUGAUGCUAUUAUCAAUUAUAUACAAAGUCCCAGCUCAGUAUUAUCUUACUAGGCCGGCCCUUGGGGGCUACACAUUGCUGUUCAAAUUUACAUGGUUAUAUCUACAAAGUCCCUGCUCAUUAUUGCAUAAUGACCCGGUCCUUGGGGGCUACACUAGUUGAAGUUUUCAUGAGCAUAAAACAAUUACAAGUCCCAGGUUGCUGCAAGCAUGACAACCCGACAUUUGGGGGCAACAUGUGUGGAAUAUUCAGUUUAUAUGAUUGAGAUGAAUAAACCGGAUUUCUUCAAGGUUGCAACAUUUAUUGGAGCAAGUCUUAAACCAUCACUUUGUUCUGCUCAAGACUUGGGGGCUACAGGUAAUAUGGAUAUAAGGGAGAAAAAUCUUCAAAUUAUCAGUUUUGAGCAAAUCAGGAGGAUCAAUUACAUAAACCGGUGUCAACAACAAUUAUGACCCGGCAUCGUCUGUUUUAUAAUCCGACAGUUUUUGGUAAUGAUAAACCGACAAGUUUUACAUCUUCAAGCCAGCUGAAUAUGAGAUGAGUAUUUGAAGACCAAAAUUAUUUAACCCGACGCCUUGGAAGCCGACUCAAGUAGAUUAUUCUUCACAAUAUUUUUCUGUGAGAAACCAACAUCAGAAAAUUGAGUAUGAAGCUAGCUUAUUUGACCCGGGUUUUCUACAUGAAGGAAAUGACAAUUGGAAUUAAGGAUAAUCAGGUCCUGUCUCAGGAGAAUAUUUAACCCGGAGCACAAGGAAUUAAGGAUGAUCAGGUGCCGGCGUACAAGAAUUUUUAACCCGGAGCACAACCUGUCAAAUUGUUCUUGAGUUAUUUUGCAGGGUUAGUUUAACAUGGAUAAAUCCAGAUUAAACUGGGGGCUAAUGUCGGGGAUAUACCCCGCGGUAUGACCCGGCCGGAUAUAUGACCCGGCCGGACUUGAUGUUUCAUUGGUAACCGCCAGAGGAUUGGCGACUCACGUGUCCGACGGCUCACUGGUGUGACGACUCAUGAGCCUGAAGACUCAUGGGUGACCCGGCGGGUGCUUCAGACGGACGACAAGGCCCAAGGACCAAUAUGCCGGUUCAUAUAAAGGUGGGCCGGCUUAAGAGGAAAGGGAUGACGAAUAUUUCCUUUACGAGGAAGCAAGACCCGGACUUGUAGUCAACUUGUAAGAAAAGAUAGACUAGUCCUAGUCCUACUAGGACUCCACAUGUAACCCACCCCUCUAACUUAUAUAAGGAGGGGCAGGGCUCCCCAAAGAGGGAGAGAAAACAAGAAACAACAAUCUCUAGGGCUAGACACAAUGAGCCGGCUUACCGGCGACUCCCUCAUGAGCAUAAUGAGACCUAGCCACAAACAGCAUGUAGGGUUAUUACUGGAUGAUGUUUCCCGGUGCCUGAAGCUGUCUAAACCCUUGUCUUGCGUGUUGAUCCGCCCUGCGUCUCUCGUCCUGCUCAACCCCUCUCAAGCUACCACAUAGAUGUGUUGGCCUCGCGACUAAGUCCUGACACUAAGGACAUCUGACGUGACAAUUCCACGACAGGAUCAAUGGAGCAAACAUGUUAAGCAACAUCAACAAAAUCGAGCAAAGCUGAGUGAACUUGAUAUUUACCUAAAAGAUGAUGUUUGCCCGCAAGAAGAUGGCUUCGACAUACUAUGUUGGUGGUCCAAUAAUGCACACAAGUAACCCCAUAGUAUCUUGGAUAUCAAAGGAUGUAUUGGUUGAACCUGCAUCUACUGUAGCAUCAGGGUCAACCUUCUCCACUAGAGGAAGAAUACUCAGUGACUAUAGGACCAAAAUGAUAUGAACCAUUGCAGAUGCAUUAAUCUAUCUACAAGAAUGCGACCUCGCGGUAACAAACUCUCUUUUUAGUGAUAUUUAGUAUUCUUUGGUGUUAUGAUGAUAAAACUUUAACAAUUUAUUUUCUCUCAUUCCAGGAACUAAUCAUGUGGACACGAUAAUAAACGAUGUUAUUUAUGGAACACGCACCGAUAUUGAUGGUCAUUAAUUGCAGCAUUAGGUAAGUCUAAUCUUGAAGUACAUAUGUUCAUGUACUCAUGUCUAGAUUUCUGUUUUGUGAGCUGGAUUCAUAAAAAAUUAUGUGUCUUGUUAGAUCUCCUUUGAAAGUUUUCUCUAGCUUAUUAAAGUGGGGAUGGAUUGGGAAAUAAGAUAAAUGCAUGUUCUGUAAUCAAGUGAUAAUGAUGAGCACCUUAUCGUUGGUUGUGCACUUGCUAGAUUUAUCUGUGGGAUUGCAGAAUGCUCAACUUGAAACAGAUAGUAUGCCCAGUAGUUUGCAGAGUAAGAUAUGUGGGUUAUGAGUUUUUAUGCUAAAGCUGGGAAAUUUGCAGUUGUUCUUCAGUCCAAUUUAUACCAUGAAUAUUUGUCAAUUUACUAUGCAAAGUGAAUAUGCUACAGAACAGUAACUUGAAUGCACUGUCAAUUUACUACUUAGUGUGCAAGGUCAAUUUAUACCAUGCCUUUUUUUUCUUCUCCCAUUUUAGGCCAUGAAUGUUGAUUUCAGAGAAGUCGGGAAAUCACUACUAUUUUUUGUUUUAAAUUUCAGAUACUGGAAACCACUGCUCCUUGGCAAAUGCAAUUGCUACAAGAUUCACCCUGGUUCAAGUAAGGAUAAGGCAACCAGAAACCAAGCACCAGCCUGGUUCUCCUACGAGUUUCGAAGAUUAAUGUGUCAAUAGCAAUAUCUCAUAGAUGUGUUGUCUGCUGCCUGAUGUGAAUUCUGUAGAUUUUUAUUCUUCUAUGCCUUAUAUUCACAGCCUACUUUAUAGCUGAUGUGUAGCGUUGAUUGAUACACACAUAUAGUGCUGAUUAUCUGAAUUUUCCUCUGAGAUCCAGGCGAUGUGUAGUGUUGAUUGAUACACACAUGUAGCUGGCCGGUAAUGCGGGAUGCCGCACUGCCCGGCCCUAAUUAUACCGGUGUGUGGCGGCCACCCGCAAACUCCCACAUUAGCCGCACUGUCCCGCUUAGUUCUGUGACGGACACCCGCAUCCCGCCCCGCUUGAAACCUGAGAGAUGCGGCAAAAAUAUCACUAAAAAAAUGCGGAAAAAUGAACAACCAGUUCCAUAUUGGCUAUCUGUCUGUAUAUCAAAAUAUAAGACGUUUUUUAAGCUUAGAUUGAGCCUAAAACGUCUCUGGCCCAUCAAGGCACCAAAUACAAGUAUGGCAAGUCACCAAAAAAAGAGCUAGUAGGUGGGAAAAUAUCCGGAUUUCAGUUAAGCACUUGAUACAAGCUAAAUCAUGCUAUUACCUGGGCAUAUGCAGCAGGAACAACCGAACUUGAAGAAACUCCAAAAAAAUUAGAAUCUUCUGCAAUACAAGUCACAGUAAAUAGUAUGUAUGCCAGGGAAUUAUUGUUAGAAGCACGGACGCAUUUUUAUAAUUCCAUUUUACUGAAAUUUUACACUUACAAGAUUCCUUGAUGUCUAUUCCAGCAAUGCAUCAAUCAACUGCUUAAAAAAGGGCAACCUGAUGCAUGUAGCUCCCGCUUGCGCAGGGUCCAGGGAAGGGUCCGACCACUUUGGGUCUAUAGUACGCAGUCUUUCCCUACAUUUCUGUACGAGGCUGUUUCCAGGACUUGAACCCAUGACCUCAUGGUCACAAGGCAGCAGCUUUACCACUGCGCCAAGGCUCCCCUUCAAUCAACUGCUUAAACUAAGUGAAAAUUGUAACAAGUCAGAGCUCGCAACUAAGCCACCGGAAGUAUAACAAGUCACAAGAAAUUUGCUGUCGCCAGUUAGCAGAUCUUGUUAGCAAAAUGGGAUUCUUGCUAAAAGCACAGACACAUCUUCAAAUAUUGAAUUCAUUCAAAGGUUUCUCUCAACAAAUGAACAACACAACAGUCCUGGUUUCUCUCAACAGAUGAACAACACAAAUUGGUUGAUGAGGCCUAGCAGCCAAUGCAACUUAGCAGUGUUCCACAGAAAGUAUGCAGCAGAUGAAAAAUCCAAACCUCCAUAAAACUCAUUAACUCCAGCAUCAGGCCAAUAAUUUCAACGUAUCCGAAUAUCACAUAUUCAUAGGUGAGAAUUCCCUCGAAAUUUCACAUCUCUGCGAGUGAAAUCAUUAUUCCCCUGAACUCGUCUGUGUACCUAUUUUGAAAUCUUUGCAAAAAAAAAAUGUUGUAUUUGAAAACAACAUAUUGAAGCUUGAACUCACUUUAUAACUGAAUGUUCUGAAAGCCCUAAAAAAACCUGAACGUUCUGAAAUGACAGUAGAUUACACGAUUCAUGAUAUUUGGCAAAGCAGCAGGCUCACUAUAUCAUUCUAAUCAUUAACCACUCACUAUAUACGUGAGACAAUCUGGCAAUAGAUUAUUUCUACAAACCAAUCAAAUCAACUGCAUUAUUUGAUUCCCAACUUUCCAUGGUCAGUCAACAUAAAUGCGUUCGACACCGAGCACGACAACCUUGCAGCUUACACGCAAAUCUCCCCUGCUGCUGCUGUUGCUGUCACAAAGGCAGUGUGUUAGUCUACAUCAAAACGGCAUGUUAAUCUUGUGCAAAUUCUACCCUUUGGUGCAAUGCUUUAAGAUGCAACUUGUGCUAUUCUACUCUUCCAAGAAAACAAUUGAAAAACGCAACAACUUUCUUGCAAUAAGGUGAUUUUAUACUCUGAAGAAACAGGAACAUAGUUGACACUUGACAUUUUCAAAUUCAGUUUUCUUGCAACAAGGUGAUCUCUUACACGACAAUUUUAAGAACUGGACAUAAAGUGCAGGUAAUAUAGAGCAAAACAGUACCGCCGAGCUACACCAGAUGAAGAAAGAAUGCAAAUAACUAUUUUUCAAAACUGGUCGAUGUUCAGUCAAGCAAGGGUGCAACUGCCUAACAUUGUGAACUGAAAUACAACUAUAUUUCUUUACAGAAGUAGUAGCAAGUAACUACAUCACCAUUAAAGUUAGGUCGGGAACAUACUAAAAUAUAAUUAAGCACUUAAAAGCUGAUUUAUAUUAUUAGCUGUGCCGCAACAAAGAACAAAGGUUGAAAUAAAAUAAAAUUUGCAACCUAAAAGACAAAGAGAUUGUACAGUAAAAAGAACAAGUUUAUG
rnacentral:lncRNA from 1 species